AAUGAAUCGAGUUUCGAAACACGGUUGUUGUAGGGAGUUAUUUCUUUCUUAAAGGAAGGCUCUCUGCUCCAUUGGGUGACGAUUCAAUGGUUCUAUUCAUCCUAUUCCUAGGUCGAUCCGUUAACUUGGGUUUUGUUUACCAGUUGGUUAGGUCAACUUGUGGCAUAGCUGUAUUGGACGCGAUACGGUGAACGAGUCCCUUUUUGCUUUCCGAUACUUUCUUGAAGGAAUAGCAUCUGAGUACAAUAGUGUAGAGUUCCCCGCACUAAACAUUGCAAAGAGUCUAAAAGAGGUGAAAGAGCUAUAAAGAACUAAGGAAGAAGCCAUUUGUAGCACUAAGAGGAAGAUGUCUCACAACCAGCCUACGGAUAAUACAUGCCGAUAUAGGAAUGAAGCAUGCAUAAACUCGUAAGUCAAUAGUGAAUUUGGUUGCAUCGAAGGCGGAUAAAUUCAAUAAUGAGGGCCGCCCGCAGAUGAUAGCAAUUCGUCUUCACUAAGAGCUAACGACUAGAAAUCUAGCAAAUAGGACGCUUUGUCAAUUGAAUUAGUAAGUUAUCCUGGUCUAGAGGGUGUUCUUCCUCCCCACUCUAGAGGCUAAACCAGUUAGAAAAGCGUCCCCCGGGAGUUUCGCAGUAGUAGAUGACGUUCCUGGUACUAGUAGUCCAUAGAACUAAGAUUUGCAUGCAUGGUGGGUAACAGCAUUGUAUCUAUCUUUUGCAGUCUGUAAAUACGUAUCCCAAAGUUGUAGAUUCUGCUUCUUAAGGGCUGGGUGUCAAAGUCCUCAGUAGGUGGUUUGGUCCUUCAAAUGCCUAUCUGUUGUAGUAGUCCCCAAAGGCGGAGCUUUAUUAGUUGUAGGUGGACGGACCUCAAGUCCUUUCCUUUCUCUAACGCUAAUACCGCGGCCUGUCAUGAUUGCUGUCAAAGAUGAAGGCCAUACUGUAGUCAUAAGAUUGCGUGUCGUGUCGUUAUUCUGUAUCGUGUACAGAUUCUCAUAUGUGUUGUCAUUCCAGUACAGCUAAUCCGUGAACAGCUAACCAUCGUACUGUCAAAAUGGGAUAGGUUCGAUCUAUGGUCAUGGAAGGCCUCCUAAAAAGAUCUACUAAAUUCAUCGAGUUGUUCCAAAGAAUCAAAGCGCCCAGUUAUUAAGAAAAUCCCUUGUCGGCUUUCCGUGAAAUAUUCGUUUGGCCGAGGACUUCCAUAGCUGUUCCUAUUUCAACUAGGUAGGCCUUCGGUAUUCAUGCUUCCUUCUAUCAAGAGCAUUGUGGCAGUACGAAAUCCUUCCUCAGCCUUGUUUAUAAUUUUCACCGGGCAUAUCCGAUUUUUGGACACUUGCUGCAUCCCUUUUCUUGCUGCAUUAGCUUAACCGUUCGCUUCUUUCCAUUGCUUCAACGCUUGUUUCAAGCAAUAGUCAAGAGUUACUAAAGUAGUUUGUCCUAUUCAAAGCUAUAAUCAGUGACUAAUAUGCACACAACAAUAAAGACUGUUGUUUUUUCUAGUGAGAAAUCGAGUACUGUUUUUACACAGCUAUAGCGUCUGAGAAUUUGACAGAAAAGCAAGGUUCAAAGCCCACGGAGCGGUAGGUCGACAUUCCUUCUUCUUUCCAAGCUUCUAGUGGUAUCUAUACCUUUCGAGACCAAGCCCUGCUACAAUUCAUUGCUGGAAGAGACUGCUAGAUUUCUUUUUCAUAGUUCGCUUCAGGGUUGUAGAUAAUGCUCUAUCAAAGAGCGCCAGCGUACGUGCUCGAAAGCGUUAGUCAACUAGCUACUUGUCCUUGCUUUUCUCUAGUGUGCCCCUUCAUUCAAUCUCUAACUCAAUGUCUACCCACAUACCUUUCCUUUCUGAAUCAGGAAUAGCCGCUUCGAACGAACAAAAGAAAGGCCAUACAGUCAAGCAAGGCCUGCACCCGUCACCAGACCAGAUGAGAUGUUGCUUCUCCCAUGUCCUUACUUUAAUUUUUACUUUUGUUAAGGAAUUCGAGACCACUACUUCAAUUGCUUACUGGGCGCAAGUUCUAUUACGGAUUCGCUCCAUCGCUUAACAACUUCAGCAACUCCAACGAGGCACGACCCAGCUCUUUCGGAACCAGAUGAAACACUUUUAGGACUCGGUACCCGAACCACGAUUGGCUCUAAAUAGAGAAGACCACUCAAAUCCUGUUAGGUACAAUCCAACCUUGACCUCUUCAAACUCAAGUUUUGUCAAAAGGUGCCAUGUUGCUUUUAAUACACCGAUCAAUCAGAUCAGAAUAAGGGAGCUUAACGACAGUUUUUUUAGAAAAGAGGAGGUAGUUUUGGAGCGAAGAAGCAGUGAUAACAAAGGUAUAUAGCGAAGGUGACGAUAGCCUUGCAGACGCGGAGUAAAAGAAUACCGAAGUUCCAAAAUGGAAGCUGUUGUGGCAGGAGAGAGCUAGUGAUCUCCCAUAGGGGUGGAGAAGCAAAUUACUACCCGGCGGGUACAAUUAUUACACAGAAUAGAGAUGGGACUCGGAGGAUGAAGAAGUACAGAAGAGGGAGCCUCAAGGGAUGAAAGUGUUGUUCGGGACACGAAACCAUGGAUUGUUUCUGUGCUUGGCACUAGAAAGGUAUGAUUGGAACCCUGCUUUGCUACCGGGAGCCUAAAGCAUCGGGACAUCGAGAUCGCUUAAGGCAUUGAAGUCGCUGACUAGCUCGGGUCGAACUAAAACAUUUCUACUUUUAUAGGCGUUUAUGAGCUCCCUUUUCAGGAUUGAGAAUGACGACACAGCCUGGAGGUCUUUCGUCUACUUCUUCUGUCCAGGCCUGUUUGUAUUCCCACCAUACCUUUCCACAUCGUCCUUCUCUAUUGGGGGCUCCCAACACCUCAGCCAAUUCGUGCAGCAUCUUAUUCAGGAUCUCGGUGCUCCCAAAAGUUGUGAGCGACUCCAGGAACAAGACUCUGCCACCUCUGUGCGUCACCGAAUGAAGGAAGGAAAGAGCAUGUCGUACAUAAACCUGGAUUUUAUCCAUGUCGUCCGUAUCUACGCCAGGCACGAUGGUACGUGGUCUGACAGAGGGGGCGGGCUUCCUACUACCUGACUUUCGCCAACAAUUCUUCCUUCGGCGGCAGAUGGCGGGCCGACCUCUCUUCGGUGGUCUCGCUCUAGAAUGGCACUUUGCUCGAUUGGUACCAUAGCUUUUGCGACUGUAUGACCAUUUUCCUUUCCGGAAAACUUGAGUUAGAAGCCCACCGAAGGUGGAAGUAUGUUUAUGGCUAUAUUUUGAUGUCAAUAGAUCUUACCAAAAAAAAAUAUAUGAAAUGAAGGAAUAAGACGGACAAUCUCUGAGUCGUCCGGACGAUUCGCAAAUAAUAUAUAUAUAUAUAUAGGUAUAAGAAAAAAAGAGGGCCAGGACACCUCACCAAAAUACAGAAUGAAUCAAGUAUGCUGAUCUCAGUCAGGUGCAGCGACAUGACAUGGCCAAUUAAUUAAUUAAGAAAGCUCUGUUUUGCAAGGAUUUCCUACUAGUCUCUAGUGCAAACCAAUUCUCCUUGGUCGUAUACAGCGGUGAACUAGCAUAGCAGAGCGCAAGGAGCAAUAUAGCAGCACAGAGCUAAAGGGCAUUCCACAGAGGAGAAAUUACCAGACAGAGCAGAGCAAGAAGCAUUGUAGCAGCAGAAAGCAAAACUGCAUCCAUUCAGAUCAGAUCAUAUCAUAUAAUGGUUCAGCUACUAGAUGAAGAGCAAAAUAACCGAUGUUCUCCUCGACCAUAUCGGCCAGGCUAGUGAUCAAUCACAUGAACAUACUCUACCACUACUACGCACGGCACGAUACAUAAAUCCUGCAACAGGAAGCAAAAUUUUGCUACUGGAUCAACAUCCACCGUCUUCUUCGGACUCAGACACAAGAACGAAACCGCCAAAAACAUGAAACAGAACAAAGAGGAGUAGUACUGCAACUGAAUCAUAGUCUGACACCGUCGAUGGUUGGCUGUCGUGAGGAGGGUGCAUUGCUGCAGUUGCUGGUAGGAUUUUGGUGUUGCUAUGUUCUUGCCGCAGAUGAUGAUAUAUGUAGAUGGGUGAGGUUUUGGACUCGAGAUAUUGCUGGGAGAUCACAUUUGCCGUCGCAUUCCAAACAAUUCGUGAGCCGUUUAGCUGGUUUAGUGGACAUUUGCCUUGCUGAUCAACUGUUUGGUAUACCCAGUUCUGUAUAAUUGUUUUGUGCCUGGAACUCCGAUCGAUUCCUUAUUCAUUGUUGCCGACCCUUACAUCAUCUCCUUCCCAGGUUCUUAUUGAUGAAUGGUCAAUACCAUUGGCCCCAAGGGAAAAUCUUCAGACAGAGAUGACAUUUUUAAUCUAAAUUAAGUGAAAGUAUCCGCAAAGCAGAAAAUGGCUGCCAUCAUGUUAUGUACUUGCAGCGGGGACCAAUCCAAGUUUGAAGAGAUGCCUCGAUCGCCAGAAUCUCUUGCAACACGGGAUUUCUCAGCAAAUGGUUCUUCGAGGACAGGAAAUCGAGAAGCGACGCCUGAUGAUAGCCACGUAAAUGAAGUGGAAUCAGACCUUAGAGAGAUAAAUUAUGAGGUUUGGGUUUGGCUGAAGCCCUCUCUCUUCAAAGGAAAUAGUAGUAGUUUCUUUUGCUGAUUUGCUCACUGGUAAGGUUUAUUUGAUUGUAUAUCAGGAGGCCCGAUUUGCUGGGAAGACUGGAAUAUCAGAGGGGAAAUUUUGAUGCAGCAUUGCAAGUUCUUCAGGGAAUUGCUUUUCUUUCACCUUCGUUGUACAACUUUUUCACAGCAUCUGUCGGGAGGAAUUCAUCCAACCAGACAUGGCUUGACGCGUCGCUGCACGCCAUCUGUGGAAGAACACAUAUGAAUAGGCCACCAUACUUGCCCAGCCCACAGCAAGCAUCAGUGGUAGUCAGAAAGCCUGCAUGUUGCAAUUCCAUCCAAAUGUGAAGCCCUUUUCAAGGAUAGCACACAAUUUAAAUACAGCACUGAUGAUGCAUUUGCUCACCGUAGCGGUCACGGUUACCGGAUUUUCGACUUUGAAGUAGUAUUAAUCCCUUUUUGGUCCAGCCGGGGUAGUACACUCUGGAUACCACUCGCUUCUGUCUAAUGCCCGAUGGAGCGAUGUCUCCAGCCUUCCAUCACAUUUAUCAUGUCGUGUGUGUCCACUAAAGAGAGAGUUUGAAUCGCUUACUAUAAGCCUAGAUGUAGCUGCCCGUAAUGUUUCAGCUCAGCUUGUUUCUCAUUCCUAUCAGCUUAAUAGUUCCGGCAGGCAGGCAGGAGUGGUUGAAGGUCGUUCGAGCUUUUACCGCAUCCAGUAUCAGGCAGACGUCAAGAUCAGUUAAAAAUUUCUUCAUUUAUAGUGAAGGCAAGAAAGCCGCUUUCUCCAUCUCAAAGUGAUACACACUCAUCGAUUCGUGGUUAACUUGCUUCCUUUGUAACGAAUAGCUUAGCUUUCCCGAAACCAGAUACAGGAAAUGCUGACCCGGAGGUCUCAUAUUCUAUUGAUCGAUCAAGAGAGAUCGGCUGUUGGCUAAGAUUAGACUAGGUUUGUUAAAGACCACUCACUAGAGCCAGUCGACACGCUUUCUCCUCUGGCGCAACAAGAAACGGCUUGCACCUCAAGUGCGCCCCUAUUAAUUAAUUAGUACUUUCUCGAGUCAAAAAGCGCGUCCAUCUCUAGAAGGAUCUGCCCCCAUCUCCGGUUCUUCUCUCUUUUCCAGAUCGAUAAUCAAAGGACCGGACCGGGCUGAUGGAUCGCAUGCUUAUAGGAUUUGUUGAUAGCAUGGCUUGCCUCACCUUCUCCUCUUCCGUUCUUAUCUCCAGCUCUUGGUCUUCGCCCUGGGUGCAAAAACAAAGUAGAGAGUUGGGUACUGGAUUCCCAGUUCAGGUGGUUAGGUACCAAAAGUGAUAAAUAGGCCCAAUUUAUCCUUUUAUACUAGAUUUCCUUAACAAGGGCAUCCAAUUCUUGAAACAAGUCACGCUCCCUUCUCUUUCCACUUUCACUUUCAUGCCCAGUUCUUUUUCGACUUGGCAAUCGUAGCAAUUUAUGUAAAGCCUCCUGAUCCGGAUAAACAUGCUCGAUACAUUCUAGUGAACUACGAAGAGAAGCUAGAACGGUGGAAGCCUGAAUCCAGUGAGUGCCCAUUCUUAAUAAACUUGGGAAUAGUAGCUCCUAUGGUUUCUAGAGCGAGUGAAUGAAACGCUAUCUUCUUAUGAGCGGAGAUAGAGAGCUAUGUCACAAUCAAUAAGUGAGAUGCUGUGGGCGAGGAAUCUUCUGUCACAAUAGAGGUCUUCUUUUCGAAUUUAAGUGGGACUAGCUUCUUCCUCAAUUGAUAUUACUGACAAUCUAGCAAUUCCAUCCUUUAGAAGAAGAUAAGUAAACCAUUUCUUUGAAUUGCAUGAUUGAGUGAUGGAUGCGGACAAUCACAAGCCUACUUUGUUUAUAGAAAAGAGCGUAUAACCCCCGAUCCCUACCUGUUGUAGAGAAUCUAUCGUCUAAACUCUUCUGUGCCAUUUGCCGCCUAAUACACUAUUUAAGUAUAAUGUUGUUUGCUGGUGCAUAUCUCUUGAUUGACUAUUUAUUGGUUAUUAAGCAUUAGUGAGCUGACCUAUGUACAAGUUCUGAGUCAACCCCCAGAUCUGUAUCUCCUUGCCUUGUAAUCUCUCAUUCAUCUAUUUAUGUGCAUGCUUUAGCGAAGUCUCCAGCCCCAUAAAUAUUAGUUAAUGCGUGAUGCGUAAAUCAAUAACUAAAACUAAAGUGCCGAUCAUCCCAUGCUACCACAGGAUUUUUCAACAACAUGACAUAUUGAGAAAAAUCUAUGUUAGAGCCGCCAUUUCUUUACGGUUACAUUAGUGUGGAUUGUUCUUCUGAUUCUGAUAGGCCUGGCACCCUAGCUUCGAUAGAUUUAUUUGAUUUUGCAAGCUAUGGCACAGGAAUGUGAUAUGGGUCGUAUCCCGCACCUCCCUUGAUUCCGUGUGAAAUCCAUCCUAAAAAGCACGAGUUGGCUCGGCGUAAAGAACAAGACGAACGUGGUAUUAUCUCUAUUAGGACGGUUAUGAGGCUCUGCUCUUUUUUUUCUUUAUUCAAUAUCUAUUCUUUGUUUCUUAUAUUCUGCUAAUUGUUAUCUUGAAUGUAUCUUUAUGCUUAAUAGAUAACUGGUGAUGCUAGAGCUGUCAAGAAGGCAUUGUUUGCAGUAUCAACCAUCAUCUACAAAUGCCCAUCAAAAGAGACCAUUUCUCUUGAAACUUCUGUCCCUUUAAAGUGAAGACAUUAGCAAGAACUACGGAUGAAAGAAGAUCGGAGUCGUGAACAGGAAAAGCUAAGACCGGUUAGGCCGAGAGGAAAGAAGCUUGUAUUUCUCGCCUUGGGCUUGAUCCAGGUGAGGAAGAAUUGGAGAUUGAAUGACUUUGCCGGGUAUUCUUUCCUUUGUAUGUAGGAUAACAAUCCUUUCCUCAAUCAAUAGAUUCUGCCCUCUGCCUAAAGCAGACCGGAAACAAGUAUCGAUCUGCCUGUACAAUCGGACCAAUUGACUUGGCAUACGCCUCUUCUCCACAGGCAUGCUUUCUUAGUCUCUAGUGGGCAUUGCCCGCCUCUCGUGGGGAACGUAUUGUUCUAGUAAAACCAGGCCCUAAAUCGUUAUUCCUUUCCGGAUUUAGGAUUGCGAUUUCCUUUAUUUGAUGACUGGAAUGUGCCGUAGGAUUGCACAUCUCGGCCUAAGGUCCGCUACUCCCCUUUCCCAAAGUCUAGGUGGUUCCAUUUAUUUCUUAAUCGGAGUUCGGGACAGUACAUGUAUGCUUUUAGCGGGAAUCCUCUGAAAGAUGGGAGCAUACGGAUUGAUUCGGAUCAACAUGGAAUUGUUACCUCAUGCUCAUUAUAGAUUUUCCCUGGGGAAUGACUUAUCUUGGAUUCAAAAACAAAGAAUAGCCUAGCAGAAGAAAGUAGUUAUUCUUGCAUCUCUGCUACUAGGAAAGUAAGUCAUUGACAAAGGACCCAACCCUUCUGAAUUCGCUGAGCGAGACCUAAGAUCGGAAUGAACAGCAGUCGAAACCCUGAGCCCAUCGUGUCUGCCAGCUAUGCAAUGGCUCUACUUGAGAUUCCGUAGGGAGAGCAGUCGCUAACCUUUCCUUCGGUCAAUCACGAGAAAUUUGCGAAUCGAAUCCGUUGUCAUUAGAGUGAUCAACUAUAUAUGCUAAUUAUUCAAACAGAUGCUCUCCGGUGGAAAUGAACCACGAGAGACUAAGCCCUGCCGAUAGCAGUAGAAGCGUUAGCCACAGAGUGACUUUUGAAUUGACACCCACUAGUGGUCAGUUUCUACUUCCAAGUUGACUGGACCAGGUACCACAUUUACUAUAGGAUAUGCUUAUCUGACGAGGUCCCUCGAGUCAUCUCUGCCACUUGGAAUUGCUUAUGAGCUGUUCUUAAAUGCUCUUCUUGGUAUGAAAUUGCCUACCUUCCUUAAGUCUUGCUUUCCCGAGAGCCCUCAUUUCAUAAAAUUCCACUGGCCAGUUAAUUCAUUAUGCUUAUUUUUCAAUGAAAGUUGCAUCCGAACAUGUUUCUCAACACGAAAAAGAAAGUCAUAUUGAGUUGUUAGAGAAAUCAAGUUCUAGCCAAAAUAGUGUACCAUCACAUGGUUUUGAUACUAAGCAGGAAAGUAUAGGAAUGCAAUGAGGAAAGACAGAUAAACACAUCGCCUCGUUUAAGACUUUCAAAGCAUCAGUUGAAUGACUAUUCUGCUCCAUUCGGAAAUACGAAAAAAUAUGUCCCUUAUUUGAGAUCUCUUAAGAUCAGCUAUUUGCUAAUAUGAUAAAGGUGGACGCUGUACUUGUCUGAAAACAGAAACUAUGAUGAUUCACAUUACUGGCUUGCUGUCCUUUGGCGGGAAAGCUAACAGGUGAACUUGCUCAACAUAAAGUGGAAGGAAAGUGUAGUAGAGAUAUUACUCGCUGUCUGAGAAGAUCUACUUGAGACCUCUGAACCAACUUCAUUCCACAGGAACGAAAGCUGAAUGAAAGUACUCAAGCUUCAAACUCCUUGCCAACCGAUAAAAGGAAUCAAGCUUAAAGGACUAUAUGACUAGCUCUUCCACAUCCUCGCCACCAUUCAUAAGGCUUUCAAGGAAUAUUGAGAUAUCUACAGAAAAGAGAAACAAACAUUCUCAGUUGGUCCACUAUUAGCGAGGCCUAAAGUCUUCACUUCAUCAGUCUAGGAAUAACACUAAAGUAGCACCCCUCACUACAUUCUUGUUCACUGAACAUAGAUCUCUAAAGAACAGUGCACUGGUACACGAUAUGAUCUGUCGUCAUGACCCAUGAACUGAGCUUCUCACUAAUCGAAAUGGUCCUCUCAGCAUGUUUCAAGGGAAGCAAGAGAUCGUUUUCUCAGGAUAUUAGUCACCCAAUCUUCCCAAUAGUAUUCCUUAACUCAUGAAUUGAUACACUUGUUCAUUCUCUUUCUAUUUCCACUGGUUUCUUUUGUUCACUUGCAAUGCGGCAUUUGAAUCCAUUUUACUCCACUUCUCUCUCUUUUCUUCCUGAUGAGGGUGAUGUACUCCGGGUACCUGAUCAUCAUGACUGGAAUUCCAGAGGAUUCCUUGAGUACUCGUUACUUCGAGGUCAAAUGGUGCGAUGGUAUUCAUCCAAAAUAGGAAACUGGUAGCGACUUGCAUUUGAUGGACUCUUCCUUCCUGUAGGAAUAGGGGAGAGUGGUAACGUGAGCCACCUUUCCUUUAUACAGCAGUAAUAGCACAUGCAAGUUCCUAGGGUCUAUAUAGCUAGUCAAGGAUCAUCAAACAAUUAGCAAAUCAUCAGUGGACUCCAAAUAGCUAUUUCAUUGAAUCGUACACGUGAUUAGGCGGGGACAGGAUUCGAACCUGCUGUCUUCAGGUCAUGAGCCUGAUGAGUUGACCAAUUCCUCUACCCCGCUUUAGUCUAAACCUUUCAUUAACAUACAUAAAAUAGAGUUCGAUGCCAGGCGGAUACUUGACAUGUUCCCCUCGGGAUACCUUCUUCUUACAUAAGCAUCUGUCUCUGAGGUUGACAUAACAGAUCUAGCUAAUGAUACAGGAACCGUUGGCCAGAUGAAAGGAAGCAGGCAAGUCGAUUGAUCAAGGAGAAAACCUUGAUCUUUCCUUUACCCCUAGAUUUCGGAUUAUCCGGAAGGAGCACGAGGAGAUUUGGCACAUCAGCACGCAUUCCUACUACUUGUUAAAACAAACUGCUAUCAUGGCAAAGCUCUACUAAGCUAUAUCAAUAGGCUCCGCUCCUUUCCUGGACUGGACUGAAACUAAUAGGCUGCUUCCUCGUCUGUACUUCAACUAGGAGGUUGUUGAUAUCACUCUAGAUUCUCGAAAGGAUAUUGGAUUGAUUUCAAAUCAAGGAAACUAUUGAAAUCGGGUAGCGAACCUAUUGUUCCUUAUUCUUUUGUCCUCCUCGGCUCUAGUUGAACAAUGCACACACCCCGCUUUAGCUGCACAUAAUAAGGUGAUCCGUGAGGCGGCUAGCUAUUAGUUAGUGCGAUGUGCAGUGAAGUGAGAGAUCUCUCUACUCUAGUAGACCAGAUGAAAUAGCUGCAAUGACUAAUGUUUGAUUGGGAAGACAGAAUACAUACGUUGACGUGCCCAGUCGAGCUACCGUAAGGUAGUCUAGUUAAGGAAAGGAAACCGGCUAUUCCCCUCACGCUAAGGGUGCGAUUCCUUACUCUCGCCAAGAUUCAUCUUUCUCCCCAAGCUGGGUUUAAGCUUUCUAUCUGUCCUUUCAGAUCUGAACAAAAAAUAAUAGAAUAGUAGGGCCCUUGAUUUAUGGGAUAACCCGACCAAAGCAUAACGAUAGGAUUCCUAGCAAAAGGCAGGGCAAGUGAGUUCUACACGAUAUUCGAUAAUGAAACGAGCCUUCCUCCUUCCUGGAACCUCUGGAUCCGAGGCCCCGGCACCCGAGUAAGUUAUCAAACCUGUUCUGUUUGCUUGUUUCCCGUAAUCCGUAACAGAGGCCUUUGCUGGCACUUCUCGUCUCACCUAGCGCGAUGCGAAGUUCAGUAGCAGACCAGAAACAAAUAUCGACUUCUACUCUCCAAAGCAGACCAGAAACUAGUAUCGACUUAUCCUCGGGGGGAAGAAGUCUUCAUUGGGCCCAUUGUCAAAUAGCUCUGAGGAAAAGGCUGCACUGAACUAGAAACCACUAGGUUCGCCUUGCCCGGGAGGACUUGAUCUUCUUGAUUCAGCAGAUCAACGCAUCCCACUAUCUGAAAGAAAAGAAGGAACGCAACCUUUCUCUUCUCCAGAACUGGACGGGGAGAGUAGUAUCCUGCACUAACCAAUUAGAAGCAAGAGCUAUGGGCAUACUUAACUAGAACUCCCUCUUACUUAACUUCACUAACCAGCCCUAACUUAAUGGAACUUACCUUAGUACACUAUUUCUAUUAUACAGAGCAAGAGAAAGAAAACGAUCUUCUUAUCUUAUCAAUCCUAAGCAGGAAAGUCCUGUUAGUGAGUGGUAAAACAAUAGAUCCGACUAAACUAGUCCUCGUAGAUUCAAGUAGUGGAUUGGUACAAUGGUUGUCUUCUCCUUUUGUCCGUAACAGGUCCAAAACUCAAGACUUUGCGCACCCACCAUUCACUAAAUUAAGGAAGAGAAGCGGGUUGUGAAGCCCCUACUUUGAAGGGGCUAUUCUGCCCUUACUUUUUGUCACUCAUACACGAAGUCAGUAGUGAAACGGGUUCCCCUACCGUAAUCUUUCACUAGCCCCAAUGGAUACGCACAUUCGAUAGAAUCAUAGUUUCCCCUACUUUCAAUUGCUAAUCGACGAUGAAGCUCUUUCCCCUUUCUUCGACCUCCUUCCUGAUAUCCCUUAACUAAUACUUGCCCACCUCCUCUCAUUGAGCACUGUCUUCAGCAAAAGCAGGUUUCUAGUUUGCUUUGUUUGCGGACAAGAAGGGAGAAGUGAACUACUGACUAAACCAGAACUCAUACUAGCCCAUUCCUUCCCAGAACUGCACCGACUACAAGAUGUAUGAACCUAUCGAUCCACUUCUAGGGCGGAGAUUGUAUUUCUCUUUCGAGCGUUCAAAGCUCCAAGUGCUAGAAUCAAUGGAUGCAUGCCCAGCUCCAAAUACAGAUGCAAAGCCUCCAGACGGUGCUGAUUCGGGAAGUAGUUGCGGUCACGUUUUCUUCUGGUGGAUGGUAUCGAUCAGCGUUUGAAGGAAGCUCUGUUUUCCUAUCAGCAUUAGUCAGCUUUCGAGUCCUUCAAGCGAGUGCCGCAGGGAAAGGAAGAGUAUUUCAUCAUGGCUAUUUAUUAGGACUACUUGGAUAAGUUAGGACAGUUUCUCUAAGGCCAGCUGUUGAGUUAGUCGGUUCAUAGGUUGUCGUAAAAUAUGGCUUUUGGAAGCCUGGACUCUGAUUACCGAUUAUGAAAGCGAGGACUCUUUUUCUCUCUCCCCAUUAACGGAAAACUAUCUUAACCUCCUUCAGCAAGUUCGUUAUCUACAAGUAAGUUAGAGAAUUCCUGUUGUCAAGCUAGUUAUCUUAUACAAGACUUUUCUAUAAGGCCUGCAAGCAGGUUCAGGUGGAAGCAGGAAAGUAACACCACCUGGUUUUCUCACGGGGAUGCCCCUUCCUUUCUAUUCUAUAUUUGGCUGGGAGCCUUCUUUUACGAAUAAGCCAUUCUCUACCUUUCAUCUCCCUGAGUCACAAUUGGUGGUAAAUCUACGGUUUAUGGUUCACAUAUUUGCCAUCUGGAAGACUAUUUCCUUUUGAUCAGCUUCUCUACAUGUCGAGAGACAGAAGUCAACCAUAGCCAUAGCACAGAAAGAGAAAUGAAAAUGUCCAUUGUACAGAAUGCAAUUCCACUCCUGAAUAGUAACCCUUGUUUGUGGCUUUUGAGUCACAAUGAAAAGGAAGAAAGAAGACUUUUCUAAGCGGCAUCGUCCUGAUUCAAGCUAUUGAUCAACCUUCACUUUCACUUCCCGAAGGGCGUUCGAAGCACCCAAUCAAGGGUACUUCUCUCUAGCUUACAGAAACAAUCACUUAGGCUGACGAUGAGAAGUUUCGCCCCAUGGCGAGUAAGAUGUUUUCCAAUCCAUGGGAAUGAAAGACAUAGAUAGCGAGCGGGCUACCCACUCUAAACCCACGCCAAUCCUUACCAUUGGUAACUCUAAUUACAAGCCUAAUUUGGAACAGAAUACCGGUAUUUUCUUUUGAUUCAAGCACACGAGUCCGAUCUCCGGUUAGUCAGAUCCAUGCAUCGAAGAUGGGAGCUAGCCAGGAACUAGAUAUGGUAUUCUCUUUACUGCGCGCGAUAGCUUAGUAAACUCUUUCCUGAUCUGUUCUAUUGGGCUCACUUCUGCUUAUUCGCGUAGAGAGGCAUAUUUCAUUCGAUUUGGCUUUAGUUAGUACUUUUUUAGGGCAAGAGUAGGAUUCAGGGAAGGAAGUGCUUGCCUUUCACCUGCUGAUUGAUUCUUAUCUAAAACGAUUAUGCUUGGUCCUAUGUAAAUAAAUGUCACAUGCUAUGUUUUUCUAUGGCCUAGAAACGGCUUUAUCCACCUGUUGUAGGGAAUGCCUCAACGCAUGUGUCUACCCACUCUUUUGUGUAAUAUGCUGGAACUCUCUCUCACCUCGAAAUGCCAUUUAUAGAUAGUUAGAAUGUGCUUGCUGAUAUCGAAACACUCCUGGGGACGCCUGACCAACUUGAGAUGCUCUUGUAGAAAGAACUCUAUUUUGAUCUAAUCACCGGAACAGCAGCUUUAGGGCAGUAUCCCACAGCUGGCUAAUAAAUAUGCCUUUGCAGUCGUUAUGAGCGAUAUCUUGGCGUACCAUUAAAGGGAGUCAGUGGGCACCGUAAGUAGUAAUCGAGAACUUGAUGAACAUACCAACCAGUAUGUGAAUCCGUAAGUGGAGGUUUUUUAGGCUAUAUCUAGCUUUCCCUGCCUGGUGAGCCUAGUCUUUCCAUGAUUUCAGUUCAGAAGGACUAUCUGAAUGCCAUAUACCAAUCUCAAUCCUCCAGCUAAUAACCUAUCACACACAGUGUGAUAUCUCCCUUUUCUCCAUCUGCAGAAACUCCCUUCCCUAUGUGACUUCAGCUUUCACCGGAUGCGGAAUUCUCGUUUUGUCCUUGGCUUAUUCUUUCUCAUGUCUCUAUAUAGGUAUUCUUGUCUCUCUGCUCUGUUGAGCCUUGUUGCCAUUUCUUAUCUCCGGCUAUGUGCCCAGCCCACCCGAUCCUAUUGACCAGUGCUGUCUGACCGAAAGGGAAAGAUUGGGGAGAAUACCUUGAGCUUGCCUUUUCCUUGGAUACUCAAUGGAUUUCCCACGGCAUUAAGGAUUUCCUGUUUCCCCGAGUCAAUCUUCCAGUUCCGGUUUCCUUUCAACCAAUUCCAAUCAGAGGAAGGAAGUCGGCUUUAGUUGCUCGCCCGCGCCUCCUGGGCUAAUUCAAAUCCUAUGCUCCAUGCUCUUGCGGGUUUGCUCCAUUUGAACUUGUCCACACUGGCAUAACCAGUAUCUCCCCGGAACUAAGAGGCAUGGAUACCCAUCUUUAUCGAUUCAAAGAAAUGAAUAAGUAUCAGCGAGGCGGGGAAUACGGGCCCGGUAGAGAUAGGGAUGAUCGGCAAGCGCUACGAGCGGGGCCGAUGUUUCGUGUUGUGGGUGGCCAUCGGAUUGUUCAGCGUGCCCAUGCGGAUCCCUACCAAUGUCCUAGACUACAAGUUCGACAAACUUCCGGCUUGGGUCAGGAUACAAAGUUACCCGGGAUGGGCUUGCCCUCUGGAUCACGCUGGGUCCUUGCUUGUUCCAACAUCAUGCUAGGAAUGUAUCACGUGCCCAUGCAAACCAAAGGAAAGCAGAUACAACUAUUACAGAUCCUAGUCCUAUUUCCCAUCAGAACAUAAGGGAGUGGGCUUCCUUUGUAACAGCUCUGUUCUGGUCGUGGCUCACCUCACUGCACCAACGCUUCUGGUCGGAAGCUGGUCGAUCGCCUGGUCGGCAACCGGCACAACACCUUUGCCAGUGGGAUUUCUGUUGGUUUUCGUACUAUGCGCAAUGAAACUUUCCAAAAAAGGAGAGCUCUAAAAACAGCGUUCUACGGGGAGAAUGUGAUUUUUGUAUACUUUGACCCCAUACUGGCAUGAAACUGAUCGGAAAAAGGACCUCAAAAACACCCAUUUAUUAGGGGAAUGUGAAAAUUGAUGGUUUUCGCCCAUACUGGCAUGAAACUUUCUCUUUUAUUGAGCUCAAAAACAGGCAGAGGCAGAGCCGCGUCGGGCAACGAACAAGUAGAGAGUCGGAAGAUAGUUGCAGCUAAAGCUAGCAGUAGUUGGAGCUAAAGCAAGCAAUAGGUAUUCGGAUAGUUGUGUUGAUAGAGGUUGCUAUAAGCCCUUGAUUGGGGAGACCGAGGGAUAGCAAUGCUGAACCACACUAUUCUUUUCUAUUUAGAUUUUGCCAGUGCCUCCCUUUAUGGCAGAGCGAGCGCCUUGACUAAGAUAGAUUGACUCUUUCAUUCUUUUUUUUAUUUUAUUCUGGUUCCAAUCGUUUGAGGAAAACCCCCUUUGGCAUCAAUGAAACUCUGUUAUAUAGGAGUUCAAAAACCUCAUUUCGUUUGAGAGAUAGUGGAAUUUCUUCUUUCAACACGUACAUCGACGAGGGUGUCGAUGACUUGAGUGAGGAAUGGUCAUGUGCUAGAGGCCGUACCUUUGGAGUAAGACCUCAACAAGGGGGUGUGCAGUUUAAAUGUAAAUGACGAGCAUGGAGAGGCCAAGGUCAUUUGUAAUUAGGUGUGGCUGAUGCAAGAAGACUGGCGAGCUGUCCAUGGUGAGAAAAGUUGUGAUGCUACUGCAGGGGGCAUCCUAGUGUAGUUGAGGGCGCAGAACUUCUGUGCGGGUACAACUGGCACUUAAAAGACCUUCCGUGUAGAUGAGUUCUCUUGAGUGAGACUAAUCGAGUUACGAAGAAACCUUUGCGAUGGUGCUGUGCAGUUGGGUUCUCUAUGGAGGAACUUCGUUGUGGGGACCAAGGGGUCUUCUUAAGAAGAGUUGCUUUGAUGAAAAGAGUGUAGCCAUGAUGGCAAGUCAAGGUGGGGCCCUGUGAAGGCAAGCCUUGUGUAUGUUGGCGUGAUGACGAGAGAAAGGAAAUGCCCUGGAACAAUAGCUGUCCGUAGCACACCCUGCAAUGACUUCGACCAGCGGACCAGCCUAUCCAAUACCCUACGCCAUGACCUUAGAAGUUCGUACCCCAUGAUAUUCAAUGACACCCGUAGACAUUUGAUCAUUCAUACCUCACAGUACGCUUUCUUUCUUUUUUUUGGACUUUGAAUUCCAAGCGAAGGAAGCUCAGUGAAAGAUAGACUGGGAUUUGACAGCAAGAAGAAAGCAAUCAUAGUACGCGGCACACACCGCUGACGAAUGAGAUUGACGUCCCAAACCAACACAGGUUCAAGACUAAGUGCAGAACCAAGAAUGUCGUGGAUAGAAAAGUGAGUGCUUCCUCAAGCUUCAUGAAGGAAGGGUCCAAGGACCUAAGCGACAACCUCUAUGAAAAAGAAAAACCUAUAUAUAGAUAGUGGUAUGUGUUCGCUGACACUAAAUAGACUUGGCUCGGGGCAGAACUGAGUGGCUAGGCUAAGUUCCCUAGUCUUCUAUUGGCCUACCCACCCCUACGACAUGGAGGCGCUUACCCUUCUCCAACAAGCGUUCCACCACGCGGCGAUUGAUUACCGCUUUCCGUCUCAAUCCGUUCCAGACCAAGCCCCUUCUCUGAUCGGGGGAAGGUCAUUCUAAAACAUCAGAUCUCCCAUUGAUGCUGAUCAAAAAUAAGUUUAUCCACCUAGAAUAUAUUCUAGGUACCGAAAGAUUGGAUGUCAUUUCUCAACACCAGGCGGGACGAGCAGCCCUAUACCACGUGUAGCCACACUCUAGUGUCCUUUUCUACUUAGUUGGACAGAUCACUUCAGAAAAUCGUAUAAAAAUCAAGCAAGAAAACGGAUGCGCUAACGCGCAAUGGAUUUCGCGCUAGUUGCUCAAAAAAUCGUAUAAAAAUCAAGCAAGAAAAAGGUUCUGGCAGGCUGCGUGGGACUGUAAAUCCUCUUUCGCUGGCUGGGCCCUUUGGACUCGAAAUCCAAACGGAGUGAGUGGUUCGAUUCCACUCUCAGAACGAGACUGAACGAAAGAAAAUGCAAGUGAAACGAGACGAGAAUCAAAUUGUAGGCUUCUUUCCUAAAAGCGGUGGUUCUCGCCUCCCCGUGCCCAAAGCGGGGUGGGCGACAGCGCUGCGGUUCUUUUCUUUAUCGAUCGGUCGUGACGCCUUUUCCUUUUGUAUGAGAAAGCGCUACAAAACAUCCUUCUCGCGGGUUAUCUUCUACUCAAGCAAGCUCUCUCCUAUUCUUCAUCCACCAACUAGCAGGAACGUAGGAGCACAAGAGGGUCAUCAUCUUCUGAAACGAUUGGCUUUCGAUCUGCUUUCCAAGAGGUGGUUUCUGACAUGACCAGAAAGAGUGGAAUUCUUGUUAGGAUUGGCAUGUCAAGUUGCUUUCUCGGACCCUAACAUAAACCACCUUAUCCUCACUCAGAUUGUUCUUUUGGACUGAGCAGAAGCACGACCUCUAUCUGACGUUUUCUCUAUCCCUUCUAAUCUCUCAAUGGCAUUUCCAUCUCUCGAUUCAAUCAAUCAAGUAAGUCCGGAUGACACUUGUCUUUAUUUAGUGUUUCCCCGGCUAUUCAGCCAUUACUUGCAUCUCAGGUUCUUUGUACCCUUUUUUAGUGCCAUGCACACUGAGGUUUCUGGCAUGACCGAAUCUUUUGAGAAUAUCGCUUAUUACGUUAAUUUCUUCAUCUUGAUGUACUCAAUCCAUUCAAAUUCCAUAAUUCCAAUGCUAUAGUGCCGUUUUUGAGUUCCUGUUUAACGACGAUGCAAGUGUAUUUCAGCAGUGGAUGUUCCCUUCUUUUGUUUUUUGAUUUACAUGUUUUGGCUCGCUUUCGUCUUUUUCUGCGGCUAACUAGUAUAGAAAAUCCAAGUGGACGUUGUUCUUAAACUCCAUAAGGAUUAGAAGGUGGUUCUACCUCGUUGGAUGGCAUUCGUAAGCAGCUAUGAUAUUUCUUAUCUUUGAUUAAGCGAAGCGACCUGGGAUCUUUCAAGGAAUGAGAUCCGGGUAUAUAGUCAUGAUCUAGUGUUUAAGGAUUUUAUGACUGACCUCCUUAUGAGUCAUUUUCUUUACAAUGAAAUUCCGUUAGCUCUGUUUCCUCGCUUCCUCCGGCAAAAAGAGGAUAAUCGGUACCCCGCUGCUUGAUCCUCUCCCNNNNNNNNNNNNNNNNNNNNNNNNNNNNNNNNNNNNNNNNNNNNNNNNNNNNNNNNNNNNNNNNNNNNNNNNNNNNNNNNNNNNNNNNNNNNNNNNNNNNCCGAGUCUUGGGUUUUGUUUGGCCAACUAGAUCUAUGAUUCUUGCAAUGGGAGAAGUGCUUGGUUUUGGGUUCUACCAUGUGGUGACCUUUCCCAGUGACAGUAGGGGCAGCAAGGCACACAUCAAGUAGUUGCCAUCAAGGGUAAAAAGAUGGGGUUUUAUCAUUGGUUUGAGAUUAUCCCUCUACGUCAUGUCAUCUUUCUUAAGGCGUUACUCUGUUCUAAUGGACUUAAUACACUAGAUGCAUGCUGGAUAGCGGUCGACGUGUGGAGUAAUAGUAGUAGAUGCAGAAACUAUCGGUCUACUUGUUUUGGACGUGAUGCCUAUAGAAAUUAUCAUUGCAUAGGUAUCGUCACGACUUUGCGCGGUUCUAUCAAUUGCUCGACAGUAAUUUGUUCACCCACCGUCUACUUGCUUUCAUGAGAGAAGCCACUAGUAAACACUACGGCCCCCGGGUCUAUUCACAUCCAUCGUUUACAUCUCCGCUUUUACUUUGCUUUGUUACUUUGUUGCUUUCAGUUCUCACUUGGCAAACAAUCUNNNNNNNNNNNNNNNNNNNNNNNNNNNNNNNNNNNNNNNNNNNNNNNNNNNNNNNNNNNNNNNNNNNNNNNNNNNNNNNNNNNNNNNNNNNNNNNNNNNNAUUGAUUGUUGUCAUUUCUAUCGGUAGGCUCCGCACCCCCGGAUUCCACCGAAUAUCCGUCUGACGGAUAUUGUCCCUCCUCUGAGCAACAAGGCAAGCAACCAUUUUGAUCAUCCCGAUAAAUCCCAUAUUCUUGCUCCUGCACUUAUUUAUUGCAUUAGGAUCAAAUUCAAAUAGCCGAACCCCUAAACCCACUUCCUUUGCAUGACCUAUCCUUGUCACAGUAAAUAGCCGAACCUUGCAACCUAGCAAACCUGGUAGUUGCUUGAGCCAUGAUGUGCCUUAUCCUGCUAUGCAUGCUAUGCUUAGAUUUGUGUAUGGUCUGUCAUCUGGGAGAUGAAUACAAUUGUGAGAAUGUGUUCGGUAAGCAAAGGUUGUGUGUUAAACUUGAGUUGGUAAAGGUACCGGCGAAAGGCUGUGUAGGAGUACAUGGCGGGUUGUUUCAUUGGAACCGUCCUUAGGAACUGAGUUCCGUGUAUGUAAACCAAGACUAGAUACUACCACAUGCUGGGCCCUGAAAUAUGACCCCGCUCGGCCUAUUAAUCGCUUAGUACUCGGUCCAGGAGUUGCAAGUAGUUUCUGGUGUUUAUAGUAAUGCUGGAGGCCGUGCAUGGUGCUGACAUGAGAGGUGGGCCGUGAUGCGGUAGGCAGUGGCACGGUGUACCAAGUGGCACCCGGAUGGUGGGCUUGGGAACCCUGCGCACAUCGUUUGAAUCCGUGGCGGAAACCUCGGCCGGACUUCCGUACGGGUUACUCUCAGAUAGGCGAUAAACCUGGACUAGGUACUAGUGUGGUUAACGGUCGUGGCCGACUCCCUCGCUGGGCUUCCGCUUGAAGGUUGCCGAGGUGCAUGACGUGCACAUGGCGAUAAGUGGUGAGAGGAUGUGUGACAAAGUACACCCCUGCAGGGUUACGAUCUAUUCGAAUAGCCGCGUCCGCGGCUAUGGACUACUUGGAGACAUAUGUUGUUCAUAGAUAACUGCAAUGGCUACUCAUAAAAUUGUCAAGAUAAGCGUGAGUGUCGUGGACGGCAUUUCCGUAUGGAGACGGAAUGAUUCCACGUUGGUGUAUUGUUGUGGUGGUUAGUGGACUCGUGUGCGAGAAAUCAAGUUGUCAAAAUGAUUUAAAAAUGCAAGUUGUCUAGCCAUGAGUCAAAUGCUGGCUUUCCGCAUGAAACCCCACAAUACCUUAUUGAUACCUUGCAUGAGUAGAUAGUUAUCCUAAAGUCUUGCUGAGUACCUUCGUACUCAUGUUUGCUUAAUAAAUGUUGCAGAGGUUGCUAAUGACCCUAAUGGAGGGUUCUUCGUAGACAUCGACGAUGACGAGUAGCUGGUGUCCCAGCUACGAUCUGGCCCUAGGUUGGGUCUGUAGUAUAGUCACGCCAUGUGCCUUCUAGUUGCACCUGUCUGUACUCAGACAGUUUUAAACUCUUCCGCUGGCUUGUAACUGAAUGACUGUUAUUAUGGGUUGUGAGACCCUUAAUGUGUAAUAUUAUGUGUGAGGCUCUUCCGAGGCUCUUAAAUAAAGUUUGUAUGUUAUGGUUAUGUUGUGAUUCCAUCGAUGUAUCUAUACAUAUCGGUAUGCCAUGCGUACUGUGUUGUACUUGAUAUGUAUGGGGUUCGAUUACCUAGUCGUCAACUUUAGUAGCACUCCUUACAAGGAAAUGCCCCUUUGUGAUCCAAUGAGCCAUGGUACUUCGCUACAGCCCCGGACACAUUGGUUGACCGGCAUGUGUCCUUCUUAGCUGCUGUGUCUGUCCCCUUUGGGGAAACGUCAUGCGAUGUAAUGGAGUCCUUGUAGCUUGCUACGACUCGUCUACACUCGCUGGUGACCGACACCUGCUUUGUUGGGUCAUGUAUGCUUGUCCUUGUGCGGUACUGCCACUUUGGUUUGUGACUAGAAUUGUCGAUCCGGGUUCUUUGACAUUGGAAUGCUAGCGACACUGUUGCAUACGUGAGUCAAAAGACGCAAACGAUCCCUGCUAAGGUAAGGCUGCAGCCGUGGAGUUAACCGUGCGUGAGACCACAAAGAGAUGCGAUGUGUUACAGGCUGGAUUCCUAUGACUUAGGAUCGGCGUCCCGACAGAAAAUCCCCUGGAUCCACCCUGGUGGCAGCGGAGUCUGACCUGGCUUCCUCGCCUUGCCGCCCUUCUUGGCGUGCUCGAGUUUGGAGGUCUUGUUCUUCAGCAUAGUCGCGACGAUGGGGAAAAUCCUAAGAAAAGCUUGCAGGACGAAGGUGGAGAAGAAGAAGCAGGAAACGAUCAAGGAAGGCACAACCUUAACCCUAGCGCCAGCCGCAUUUAUAUAAUCGACCGACUGUGUCACCGACUGGUGGGUCCCCCAGAUCUCAGCUUAUCCCGAUAUCAGAGGAGACGUGACGCGUGGCGAUGAUGAUGGUGUGAUAAUCAAGGCGUCAUUGCUCCACUUGCCCUGCCAGUUGUGUCAUCCCCGUGAGGCACGCAGAAACCAAAAUCUGGAAUCCCGUGAAAUCUGGGCCUGCCUCAGUGAUCCGUCCCAUGAAAAUAUCCCGUCAGUCACUCGGAGUAACUCUAAGCAUCUAAAAUCACUCAGAAAAACUUCACAACAGAAUCGAUCGAGGAGAGUGACGAAGAUUUCAGUCGGCACGAAGUUUCAUCCAUCCCAGGAAAAUGACAAAGGUCAGUGUGGUUCGACAAGAACUCACAUCAACCCCUUCGUCAGUCGAACCCCGAUCCAUUCGGGGGCUAAUGAUGGGGAUAUGUACCUAGGGUAGGGUCACAGGCCUGACCUAAAUGUCCUACCCAAGGGUACCUCAUUAUUAGGCCAAAGGUCACACAGAAGAUUCCGACUGAAUGUACAUGGCACCAACCAGUCACUCAAUACACGUAUAUUAUUUAAAUGCCUUUCUGUGAUGCCACAAAUGGUCUCUUAUGAAGGAAAGUUAUUCUUAUUGCUUUCAAAAUAUUUGAGAAAAUUUAGGGAAACCCAGUGGACAUAUAUAUUUCAUAUAUAUGAGUUUAAUCACAUGGUCAUGUUCAAAAUAUUGGGCAAACCCCUUCAAAACCCUUCCUGCCUAUUUCAAACUUUUGGAAUAUUUCUAUAAGAAAUGUUCUCCAUUUAUUCCUGUAAAAUUCUACCAUGUCACAUAUGAUAUAUGUGAUGAUCUUGCCAAUUUAGCAACUCUACAUUGCCAAGUGUCUCCAAUUGUGCUCAAAUUUGGUGGACAAGUUUUGAUACUCCAAUAAUGCAUCCACACCAAGUGGUGCAUCAAGGAGAAUAGAAGAACUUGUCCCAAGACCCUCAAAACCCUCCCUGUUGAUUUCAGACUUUGGGAAACUUUACAUUAUAAAGUUUCUCGAAUUGACCCCCAAAAUUUUUGGGCAUGCUUUAAUGCUCAAAUAAUGCCCCCACACCAAAUACUGGAUUUGUGGGAAUAGAUUUGAAUAGCUUUGUAAGCAGAAGGCCACUUCUGCCCAUUUCAUGGGUUUUCCAAGUCUACAUUGGAAAUCUUCUCCACCAAAUCACAAAUUUGGUGUCCAAGCUUAUUUUCAUUUUUUUGAUGCCGUUAAGUUUCAUAUCCAUUGAUGUCCAUAUGGUUGCCGUGACACUCAUCAAACACCUUGUGUGCACUCAAUUUAUUGGCUAGUUUGACCCCUUCCACUUUCACCCUUGAGCUCAACUUUCUACCACAGCCUCUCCUAGUUACCUUUUUACUCCAGUAGCUUUGCCAUGGCAACUAAACAAUUAUUGGAGAGAUGCCCGUUGUAGCUACUUCUCAUUUUACGCUUGGAAUCAUCAUUUUUACUCCUCUUGCCCCACUUCUGUUUAAGCCAAAGCCCCCAUCUCUUUCCAGAGAGCCCCUAGCAUCCCAAGGCAUCAUUUCAAACCAAGAUAUGAUAUACUCAUGUGGAGAAAAUGAGCAGCACAUCUGCAAGUUGAAUUGUGGCUGAAAUGUAGCUUUGUACACCAAUUACUAGCUACCCUCCUUUGAUUGAUCUCAGACUUGGCAUUGUGGUAGUCCUUCCAUGAAUAAGACUAGUAGUCCUUCCAUGAAUAAGCUUUGCAAGAAAUGUGACUUAGGAAUUGGUCACGGGAUCUUGUAUUACGAUACAAGUAAAGAGACUUGCCGGUAACGAGAUUGAACUAGGUAUGGAGAUACCGACAAUCGAAUCUCGGGCAAGUAACAUACUGAAGGACAAAGGGACCAACAUAUGGGAUUAACUGAAUCCUUGACAUAGAGGUUCAACCGAUAGAGAUCUUCGUAGAAUAUGUAGGAGACAAUAUGGUCAUCUAGGUCCCGCUAUUGGUUAUUGACCGAAGAAUGUCUCAGGUCAUGUCUACAUAGUUCUCGAACCCGCACAGUGUGCACACUUAAGGUUCAAUGACGUUUCGCUAUAGUUGAGUUAUAGGUGUUGGUGAUAGAAGGUUGUUUGGAGUCCUGGAUGAGAUCCUCGAUGUCGCGAGGAGCUCUGGAGUGGUUCGGAGGUAAAUAUUGAUAUAUAGGAAGUCCUGUUUUGGUCACCGGAAAAGUUUCGGGCUCAUCGGUAGUGUACCGGGAAUGCCGGGAGGGUAUCGGGGACCAUCGGGAGGGGUGUCAUGCCCCGAGGGGCCUCAUGAGCUCUGGGAGGAGACAAACCAGCCCCUAGUGGGCUGGUCUAAGCCCCCACUAAGGCCUAUGAGGUUUGAGAAGGAAAAAACAAAAAGGUUGAAGAGGAGGAAAGGGUUUCCAAGUGGUGAUGAGGAAUCCUACUACUAGUAGGAUUGGAGUAGGAAUCCUCCACCUCUAAUUUUGGCCGAACCUUGAGGGUGUGAGGCUUCCUCCUCCCCUCCCUCCCUCCUAUAUAUACUAGAGGAAUUAGAGGCAGCCCUAACCAUAAUUGCCACGUGCUCCCUCUACUUCUCGCUAGGUCUGUUUCUCCUCUAGUCUAGUUCGGUAGUGCUUAGGCGAAGCCGUGCUGGAUUAGUGCACCACCACCACCACCGCGCCACCGUGCUGCAUAACUCAUCUAUCUCUCCACCCCUCUUGCUGGAUGAAGAAGUCGGGGAUCGUCAUCGAGCUGUACUUGUGUUGAAUGCGGAAGUGCCGUCCGUUCGGCACUAGAUCGGGAUAGAUCGUGAUGGGAUCGCAGGACAGAUCGUGAUGGGAUCACAGGACAGAUCGUGAUGAGAUCGCGGGAAGGGCUGCGAUUUGGAUCGCGAAGAUGUUCCACUACAUCAACCACAUUAUAUACGCUUUCACUUAACGAUCUGCAAGGGUAUGUAGAUUCACUCUCCCCUCUCGUAGAUGAUCAUCACCAUGGAUAGGUAUUGCGUGCGUGUAGGAAACUUUUUGUUUCCCAUGCAACGUUCCCCAACACUUCCCCACACUUCCACCAAGAGAAAAUUUGUUCCCCCCAUUAAUCCCUCGCGGAUCUUGUUACUCUUGGGUGUUUGAGCACCCUAGAAGGAAUAUGUCACCACGAAGCCAUACUCCAUUAUGGUGAAGCUUCGUGAUCUCGUUGGGAGCCUCCAAUUAAGUUGUGGAGAUUUCCCCAACCUUAUUUGUAAAGGUUCAGUCACUGCCUUCAAGGGCACCACUUAGUGGAAUCACGACACCUCGCAUUGUGUGAGGGCAUGAGGAGAAUAUGGUGGCCUUAGCGGCAUCUUGGGGAGCAUUGUGCCUCCACACUGCUCCAACAGAGAUGUACUUCGCUUCAAAGGGAUGGAAGUUUGGAAACAUAUCCUAGUCUUCAUCGGUCCACUUGUGGUUAUUUCUCACCUUUACUUAUAUUUACUUCUUGCUUAUUAUUGUUAUUGUUAGCAUCAUAUAUCUUUCUCACUUAGUUGCAUAUCUAGACAACCUAUUUGUUGCUAAAUCUAAUUUGGUUAAAGAAAAGUUUAAAACUGUUAGUUGCCUAUUCACCCCCCUCUGGUCAACAAUAUCAAUCCUUUCAGUAACCAAGUAGGAAACCUUCAUGAGAUUUAGGAGCAAAUUUUAAAUGACAAUGGUUAUCAAGAAUGUAGCACUUUGAGAAAAAUACCCGAAAGUAUCCAACUUAGGGUUUGUUACCUAUGAGUAGCUUGUAUGUCAUUUGAGUGAGAAUCUUGUGUAGGUAGAGUCAGUUUGUUCCAUGACAAGUUAUUUCCACGGCUUUUGCCCAAAAGAGUCUUGGUGUCUUGUAUUCGUCGAGCAUCAUUCUAGCCAUCUCUAUGAGAAUCCGGUUCUUCCUCUCAAUAUCUUCAUUUCUUUGAGGUUAUACGUAGCCGAUAAGUCAUGUGAUAUAACUUCUUCAUCAAGAAAGGUGUCCACAUUGGUGUUCUUGAACUCCGAUUCAUUGUCGCUCUGAACUUUCUUAAUCUUCACUUGAAAAUAAUUUUGGAAUUUCUGAGCGAAGUUCUUGGAGAUCUUUUGUACACGAUAUUUUUCAUCAAGAAAUAAUACCCAUGUAAAUAUGGAAAAAUCAUCAACUGUAACUAUGCCAAUAGAAUUUCCACCGAGGAUCUUGUAGGCAUUGGAACCAAAGAGAACCAUCUGAAGCAGCUCGAGUGGUCUCCUAGUAGUGAUGAUGUUCUUCGCAGGAUGACUUCCACCUACUUGUUUUCCUUCUUGACAAGCACUAAAAUGUCUACCUUUGUCAAAUAUAACAUCUUUAACACCAAGUAUAAGAUUGGCUUUGAUAAGCUUGUCUAGAUUACGGAUACCAACAUGUCCUAGCCUUAUAUGCCAUAGACAACCUUUAGAUGAUUUUGCAAUAAGAAAAGUACAAUGUUUGGCUCUUUUAGUGAAAUUGACAAUAUAUAGAUCACCUCUAUGAAAGCCAGUGAAUACCAUGUUAUCUUUAUCUUGUCGAAACACUUGGCAAUCAACUUUUGUAAAUAGCACACUGAAACCAAAUUGAGCUAGUCUAGAUACGGAAAGAAGAUUGUAGCCAAGGGAUUCAACAAGCAUGACAUUUUGAAUAGAACUAUCAUGAGAUAUGACCACCUUAGCAAGACCUAGUACCUUACCCUUGGAGGUGUCUCCAAAAGUCACAUACCUUCGUGGUCCAUGGUUUGGUGUGAUAUCUUGAAACAUGCCUCUAUCUCAAGUCAUGUGAUCGGUUCAUUGAUACGUCUUCAACGUAUCUAUAAUUUUUGAUUGUUCUGUGCUAUUAUGUUAUCGUUCUUGGAUGUUUUAUAAUCAUUUUAUAGCAAUUUUAUAUCAUUUCUUGUGACUAACCUAUUUACAUAGUGCCUAGUGCCAGUUGUUGUUUUUUCCUUCACAGAAAAUCCAUAUAAGACGAGGCCAAUUACCACGAAACUUUACGAAGAUUUUUUUGUACAAGAAGGAAACUUGGAGGCCAAGAAUGAGCAGCAACCAAGGCCCAACAAGCCCACUAGAGACCACAGCCCGCCAUAGGCCGCCGGCGCGGCCUGGUGUCCAAUGGGGCCCUCCCGAACCUUCUGCACCACCUCUCAGCUCAAUAAAAAACCCAAUAUUCCAGAAACCCUAGAGGAGUUGACUAAAUAUCGUUUCAGCCGGUGCAAGUUCGAGAGCUACGAAAACCAACGUAGAGCCUUUUCCAGAAAAGAACACGAUCAUGGAGGGGUUCACCAUAUCCAUUGGUGUUCCUCCCAUGAUGCGUGAGUAGUUCAUAUUGGACCUACGGAUCCGUAGGGAGUAGCUAGAUGGCUUUCUCCCUCGUUAUGUUUCUCAAUACAAUGGUCUCUUGGAGAUCCAAAUGAUGUAACUCUUUGUUUUUGAAAGUGCAUUAUAUCGACUAGAGGGGGGUGAAUAGGCGAUUAUUAGAAUUUCAUCGCUGAGGAAAUUCCUUGUGAGGAAAGUCCUCAAUGACGCAUUAAGUGAAGUGGAAAUAGCGCAGGAUCAGGUGUGGAAAAACUUCAGUAGCAUAUGACUUGUUGAGGAUAAUGAGAAUCGAUUUGCACAAUUCGCAAGUACAGAGUAAGCAGGUGAAGAUUAUCUUAAGUGAAGAAUUUGGGGUUGAGGAAAUUCAGACGAAGUCUUCAAACAAAUUCUUCAACAAUGCAUAUCAAAGUCUUCAACAUAGAAUUCGAGGAAAUGAAAGAGUUGAAGAAAUAGAACCCGUAUCACGAUGAAGACAGUUGUUGAUGACCCAAUUCCAACUGCUCUGACAGUUGUACGUCUGGUUUGGAGCGGCUUGGUAUUGAAACCAAAGGACACACAGUCCCUACCGUAUUCUCGUUGAGAUAAGGACACAUAGUCCUCACCCAACACUCGUGGUAAGUCUUCAGGGUAGACUUCCAAACCCUCACAAACUCGGUCACUCGGCGAUCCAAAAUUGAUUGGAGGAUGCUGUAGACCAUGACGCCUAACCAUCUGGAGGAUGCACAAUCCACAAAGGUAAACGACUUCAGUUCCACACACGAACAAACUCUUCAGUGAUGCUCAGUCAUUUGGUUUUUGGUUUGGGGUUGGUUGUUUGGGGUAUUUCCUCACUCGAUGGUUUUCUCUCGAAGACUCUGAGGAAUUUGGGUUGCUCUAAAUGACAAGUGUUAGUUUUUCUCGGAGCAGCCAAGCAGAUAGUGGUUAUGAGGGCCGCUAUUUAUAGCCUAGGAGCAUCGCGACAUGAUUUUACAUAAAUGCCCAUAAAUAAUGUGACCGUUGGGUGGAUAAGAUCAGUGAGGUGGCGCGUUGCGCGACAACGGUCGGAACUUUCAACUGUGAAAGUCCUCAUGUCUCUCAUAUUCCUCACUUUGAGGCUUUGGUAGAUUUAGGCUUGGGUUGAGCAUCAUGAGGAAAUUCAUUUCUUAGUAUUACUUCGACCCCCUUUAACAGUAUGGUGUUCCUAUGACUCAAGAGUAAAGAAAAUGAAACACAAAGAGUAAAUCUUCAUGCUUCAAAGUAUUCAGACAAUUUUUCUUCAGGACACACCGAAUUCCUCAUCUUUAAUAUCUUCCUGAGGAAUAUCAAUUUCAUCGUCAUUUCUUUGCGAUCAAAGUCUUCAAGGUAAGACUAAAGUCUUCAACCAAAGACAUACAUUUUUAGGGGUCGAUAUUCAUCGUAUAACUCAAACUCCUCAGCGACAUAAAGAGCUUGUGUACACUUACAAACACAUUAGUCUCUUAACCUAUAAGUCAUCAAACCACCAAAAUCACUAAGGGCACUAGAUGCACUUACAAUCUCACCCAUUUUGGUGGUUGAUGGCAAUUAGGUUAAGUUUUCAAUGCGGAUAAUAUUAUGAAAUGUAAGUACUAAGUUUGAGGAAUUUGAAAUCAAGAUACCAAGAGACUCCCCCUGAAGAUGUGCAUAUUUUGAGGAAUUUGUUUUGCACAGCACAUGCACAUUGAUGAUUUAUAUCAUGGAGAUCUCCCCCAGUAUCUUGUAAAUCAUGCAUACAUUUGACAUAUAAUAUGAGGAAUUGAAAAUCCAUGAUAAAAAAUUGUAACACCCUCUGCUUAGCUUUCCUGACUAAUUAACUUAUUUCAAAAAUUAGGACCAAUUAAAUUUUUUGUGAAUGCUUGUUUGUUUAGUUGCUUGCUUGUAUGCGUGUGGUUGAUUCUCAAUAAUUCCUGUUACUCUCUAGACUCACCUCGUUAGCCCAAAACUCCUACCUAAUGAUCAUGCCAUGUGUUUAGGACGAAAAACUAUUUUUACCAAAUAUUAUUUUCACCAAAAAGCUUUUCUUUGAAUUAAGCUUUCAAAACCCCUAAGAUGGGAUUUGUACUACAAGUCCACAAAUUAGGGAAUUUAUUUUGCACCAAUUAUUUUAUUUAAAACCUAUUAUCAAAAUUACUUCCCAAAACCACAAUAUUAAUAUUUAAAAAUAAUUUUUCUAUUUUAUUUAAAUGCCUUUCUGUGAGGCCAGAAAUGGUCUCUUAUGAAGGAAAGUUAUUCUUAUUGCUUUCAAAAUAUUUGAGAAAAUUUAGGGAAACCCACUGGACAUAUAUAUUUCAUAUAUAUAUGAGUUUAAUCACAUGGUCAUGUUCAAAAUAUUUGACAAACCCCUUCAAAACCAUUCCUGCCUAUUUAAAACUUUUGGAAUAUUUCUAUAAGAAAUAUUCUCCAUUAGUUCUUGUAAAAUUCUAGCAUGUCACAUAUGAUAUAUGUGAUGAUCUUGCCAAGUUUCACCUUAAUCCAAGUUGAUUUGAUUCCCCUAAUUAUUCCAAAACCCUAUGCGUUCAGAUCCAAAAUUUAGCAACUCUACAUUGCCAAGUAUCUCCAAUUGUGCUCAAAUUUGGUGGACAAGUUUUGAUACUCCAAUAAUGCAUCCACACCAAGUGGUGCAUCAAGGAGAAUAGAAGAACUUGUCCCAAGACCCUCAAAACCCUCUCUAUUGAUUUCUGACUUUGGGAAACUUUACAUUAUAAAGUUUCUCCAAUUGACCCCCUUAACUUUUUGGGCAUGCUUUAAUGCUCAAAUAAUGCCCCCACACCAAAUAUUGGAUUUGAGGGAAUUGAUUUGAAUAGCUUCGUAAGCAGAAGGCCACUUCUGCCCAUUUCAUGGGUUUUCCAAGUCUACAUUGGAAAUCUUCUCCACCAAAUCCCAAAUUUGGUGUCCAAGCUUAUUUUCAUAUUUUUUAUGCUGUUAAGUUUCAUAUCCAUUGAUGUCCAUCUGAUUGCCGUGACACUCAUCAAACACCUUGUGUGCACUCAAUUUAUUGGCUAGUUUGACCCCUUCCACUUUAACCCUUGAGCUCAACUUUCUACCAUAGCCUCUCCUAGUUACCUUUUUACUCCAGUAGCUUUGCCAUGGCAACUAAACAAUUAUUGGAGACAUGCCCCUUGUACUACUUCUCAUUUUACGCUUGGAAUCAUCAUUUUUACUCCCCUUGCCCCACUUCUGUUUAAGCCAAAGCCUCCAUCUCUUUCCAGAGGGCCCCUAGCAUCCUAAGGCAUCAUUUCAAACCAAGAUAUGGUAUACUCAUGUGGAGAAAAUGAGCAGCACAUCUGCAAGUUGAAUUGUGGCUGAAAUGUAGCUUUGUACACCAAUUACUAGCUACCCUCAUUUGAUUGAUCUCAAACUUGGCAUUGUGGUAGUCCUUCCAUGAAUAAGACUGGUAGACAAGGUUUCACCUCAAUUUCCCUUCUGGGAAAACCACUUUUGCCAGCCCCUAGUUUCUUAUUGCAAACUUAACCACAGUCAAAACCACACCUAACCAACCUUAGAUGCUUCCAAACUCCAGAGUCUCCUUCCUGCAUGUGUGCCCUACGUGUUGGACAUGUUUGACUGGUCAGGAGUGCCGUGUAGACAUGAGUGGUCGCGGUGACCACACUCACAUCAUGCAAUAUUGGUGCUCUACCCCUUGUCCUCUUGCUGCAGCUUGUUUCCGGCCGUUGCAACGUGUCUCACAGCACCGGGGGAUUCCAUUUGAUUGGUGCAAGUCCUUCCCGAUGCCUAGAAGCGACCAAAUCUCCCCAGGGACGCGUGUCUUCCCCGUGUUCUCAGAGCUCCGAGAGCUCCCGAGAUUCCAUCGUCUACCCCCUCCAUUUUUACCUCUCUCCCCGAACCCCGCUGCAUCACCUCUUCUUCCCUCACUUCCUAGCAACCUCCCGAGCCUCCCAACCAGCCGGAGGCUGCCCCGAGACCCUCCUCUUCUACCAUGGUCGCCAUGGCCGUUUCGGCCAUGCCCGGAUCCAAGCUGCCCUAGCCUCCCUCCUUCUCCCUAGGGCCUCCAGGAGAACCCCCAGACCCUGCAGCGCCUUCCCCAUUCUUCCUCUUCCCUUUGGGUGGAUGGAGCUCCUCUCCCGUGGCCGCCAUCUCCGCCCUCUGCCGUAGCCAGGGCGCAGCUUGCCCUGAGGCUCCUGGCGGGCACCAACACCAGGCUGGGUGCGUCGUAGCUCCCUGGACCGCCGAUGGCCUGAGCUCCGCCCGACGUUGUUGGAGCUGCCAGAACCAGGCGGAGCGCGAUCUCCUCCGUGCCUCCCUGCGUGCGAGCAUGAGGUAGGAGAAGGCCCUGGCAAAGGUUCCCCCCUCUAAACCUCCCCCAGCCGGACCCAUCCCCAUAAGUGGAGGCGGGUUCCUCCACGCGCGCCUCCUUGCGCUAGAAAGCGUAAAGGGUGCUGUGCGCCAUCGGCGUGGCCACUUCGCUGGUAGCUAGCGCAUCUAGGACGGCCCAGCUUCCUAUCGGUCGCCCUGAACGCUUAAUAGCAUUCCUGAUGGCCCUCCCUCCGUUGUUUUUCUCUUAUCAGUAAACUUCAAAAUUCCAUAUUAAAUUCAUUCUUGAUCCAAAUCUGAUGAUUCAAAUAUGUGCAUGACACAUUUUUCGAGAGCAACUUUCCGGGGUGUUUUUAAUUAAAUCCAAAUCUGGAUAUUUUAAGCAACACCUUGUGAAAUCCCUAUAAGGCUCAAAUGAUCUCCAAAUGGAGUGAUUCCAAUUUCCAGAGACUUAUUAUGUCAUCCCCUAUUUUUGAAGCCUUGGUAAACCUUUUUGUAUGACUUAUUUCCGUUUCAAUAAAUAAAUAGCUCCCUUUUGCUAUUUAUCCAGUAUUGGAAAAUCCCUAGAUUAUUCACCUCAUUUCCAAAUCCAGUGAGAUAACCUUCUAAAUGUUUCUAAAAUUGUACUCUAUUAAAUGAGUGCCUCCACUCACUUUUAUCUUGAUAUUUUCUGUGGGCUUCUUUAAAGAUCACCUAUUCCCCUCUCAUCCCUUCAAAAAUCCAUGCUGGUCCAACUCUCCUCUAGCAAGGUUCAGGUAUUUUUCUUAUGACCAGAGUGGUCGAAGAAAAAUAUAACUUCCAUUUUUAAAACACUUUUGUUCUACUUGCCAUGUGGCUGACUAUGAUUGUUUUCGAUGAUAGUUGACGAGUAGACGGAAUACUCAGAGUUGGACCGAAAGACCUCGAAGACCCCGAGGACUUAUGUGAGCAAAGGCAAGCAACCCUUUGACCAUGUUUGAGCAUAUAUUAUAUUGCAUGCUAAGUAGAACAAAUAUUUCCGUUGCAUGUGAUCGUAAGUACCGGUAAAUCAAUAAAGUCAUGUUACCUAUGGCUCCUCCAGAGCAAUUGCAUUUUGUGCAUGAUCCUACCACCUAUGAGGGUCACGCUCAUAUCAUGUUGACAAGUAGAGCUAAGAAUAGUAGUAGCAUGAGCAUGAUGAUGGUAUAGAUCAAAGGUUUAUGAAAACCCCGUGGGGUGCCACUAAUGCCCGAGGGUGAUGAUGAGAUAGGUGGCCACUUUUGGUGAAGUGGUGCACCGGGUAUUUUGUGUGUGUAUGGUUUCGGAAAUGGGAAUAUAUUUAUGAUGUGUUGACCGUCCCAACCUUACAUGUGCGACCACGAUACCCCUUUAUGGGACGGGGCUUUGUUGAUUACUCUGGUCGGUGCUAGCAAAGAGCCACAUUACCAGUGGCAGGAGUGAUGUGUGGUCACGCUCGAGACGGGGUCGUGUCAGGUAGGACGACUAUGCCGUCUUUACGUGUUCAGGGCACACCGUUGGUCCCUGCAUGGAUGAUACUGUCCAUAGUCGGUGCUCGUAAGACAUACAUCAUGUGGGCUGGGUACCAAUCGAGUGGACGUCUUUGUCUAGUAUCGUGAGCGGAAAGGCAUUGAUCGGGUACUUACCUCGGGUAUAUUAUAUACCACGAGUCGUGGAUGACACGCAAGUUUCCCGGAUCUCGUGGGUAUAGCGUACAACCUCUACAGAGUGUAAAACUAUUCGAAUAGUCGUGUCCACGAUCAAGGACAGUUGGGUAAUCCUGCUUAAACUAUGUCCAGUCAUUUCCGUAUAAACCAAGUGUGUGUGAGUGUGUGUUAAAUGGUGUUAUUAUGAAAGAGUUGAUAUGACCAAGUUUGGUGACUUGGCAUAUCGGGUGAACCCGGAGUGUUCAGCCCUUGAUAGAUAUGUUGCUAUAUGUAACCCGUUCUUCUAAAUACCAUUUAGCUUAUGUUCCACAUCCAUGAACAUGUUUAUUUACAGUCAAGCUGUUAUCCACCAAAACGUCACAUUACUUGCUAUUCUACCAAUUGCAUCGUUCACAUCAUGGGUUGUUUGCGAGUACAUUCAAAGUACUCAUUGGCUUGCCACAAGUUAUUUCAUUGACCAGGUAUGAGAGAACAUGAUUUGGUGAAGAGUAACUCGGUGACGUUCUUGCGAGCUAGGACACUUCCCAGUCAAAAUGCCUGUAGGUUAAGGCUAAUGAAAUGGGUUCACGCAUUCGACCAAUAGUUCCGCCAUUGGUCUAGUUUGGUGUGUUAGCCAUCAAGGCCCUAUAUAUGUAAGACUUGACCGAAAUGGUCAUUUAUUGUAUCAAACGGUAUGUAUGGAUGUAAGACUCUUAAUAUUUAGUAUCUGUGUGUUCAGUGAGCAUUGAUCUCUGGGAUCACUGAGCACGUUCAUUUGGCGGUCUCGACUCGUAAGUCGGGGUCCCCACAAAAAUGGUGUCUGCCGAAUUUCAUCAUGCCUGCAUUAAUAGACUUUGAGGAAUAAGCAUGCAAAGAAAAACGUUCAAAAGAGUCAGAGCACCAUCGAGCUUAAGUUACAACUCAUUACAUCAAACACUUCAGAAGAGCCAAUAGUUUGUAACUUAAUAAAGUUUAUAAGCCCCAAAAUAGAUCCCGCUUGAAGACUAACUCUUAGAUUUCUCCCCCUUUGUCAUCAAGUGAUGAAAAGGGACAAAGCUGAGGACUAACACCCUUGAAAAAAAUCACUUCUUGGUUGAUGUAGAGGCGUGAGGAUUCUUGGAGACAUGCUUCUUCCUUGGACCAGUUGUAGUGUCUUCAGGUUCUUCAUCUAAUUCAGCAGUGCAAAAUGAAGAAAAUGAAUUGUCCUCCAAGUCAGGAACUGGAAUUGGCUUGAAUUUCUUCUUUGGAGGGCACGACCAGUCAAAGUCUUGAGUAAAUUCCAAUUCCUCAAGUUCCUCUUGAGUCUUCAAAUGAGCCAACGUUGCCCAAGUGUGAUCAAACACCUCAUGAAGAUAAUAGUGAUUUUUCUUCACUGCAUUCUGAGUCUCGUUGAGGGUUUUCACAAUGGCACCAAACUGUCGGUUCACCCACUUGUGAUUGCGAUCGACUUUUUGAUGAAGACCGAGGAGUAGCUCUAUGUUAGUCAUCACUCUGGGGGUAGUUGGGUUUGGAGGCUCUUGAGUUGUAGUGUCAUCAUAUGAGGAGUAUGAAUCGGCCUUGCGAAAUUGGCCAUCAAGGGGCCGAUUUCCUUCAUCUAUCAUAGACUUGCCUUUGCUUCAACAGGUUCAAACGAUUUCUUAAUGACUUUUAUUGGUGGCAGAUAUCCGAGGUGAUUCUGAAAAUCAGCUUGAUAGUUGAUGCCUGACCUGUUUAUAAUGAAUCUCAUGAUCCAAGGCGCAUAAAUCUUCAAUUCAAAUGGUGACAAAGCAUUGUCAGCCAAAGUCCUCAAGAAGAAAUCAUAAAGAUUCAUAGGUAUGCCAUGAAUGGCAUUGAACAUGAUAUUCUUGACGAUGCCUACGACAUCUUCUUCAUCAUCAUGCCCUUUGAUAGGAGCAAUGACAUAAGACAUGAUUCUGUGCACUGUUCUGGGUUCAUACUUCAAGGCCUGUACCAGAAAUCGAGUCCUUGGGGGCUGGUCCUUGGCCAAAGGCUUCAUGAGGACUUCCAUCAGCUUGUUGGACAGUUCUCGUUCAUAAACAUUAGAACUGCAUCCUCUAAGGUAAUGGAAAUUGGGAGAGCUCAAAGCAAUUCAGUGGCAGGAGCUUUGUAGUGCGUGUGCUGAGUCAUCCAAUCCAAUACCCAAGUGUCGACAUACUUUGGGUCGCCUGAGAUGUGCAGUGUGGUAUAAAAUUGAAGAAUGAUGUUAGUGUUCCAAUCUCCGAUGUCAGCAUAGAAAGGCAGUAACCCAACUUCGUGAAGAACACUGAGGACUGGAGCAAAGCAAGGUAUUUCCUCCAUAUCAUAGUGAGGAAUAUGGGUAUGUUUAAAUAUCUUGUCUCUCCCAUAGAGCACAGAAGCAUAUUAGUUGAGCUGAUUUCUUGUCCAGAACUUCCUGUGUCUGAUGCGAAGGUUAUCAUAUGGAUUUUCACCAGUGAAGUACAUGCGUUCUUCAUAGAAUGCCUCUUUCUAAAACUUUGGCCGUUUGGAGAAAGGCUGAUUUUGCUGAGGUUGAAGAUUGUGCCGUUGUUAUUGAGGAGUAGCCACCACCAUUCCCGUUUCUGUGUUCACCACAACAAUAGCGGUUUCAGUGUUGGGUGCAGGAGCAUUUUCUUCAGUUUGAGCAUUUUCCUCAGUUUGAGGAUUCUCUUCAGCUUGAGGAAUUUGCUUGUUGGAGGAGGCGGUUGCAAUAUUUGAUGCUGCAUUGUCUUCAGCUGAUGUAGCGAAUUCUUGAGCAGACUCCUCACGAAUGCUUCUUCUAUCAGAACCAGUGAGAAUCUCAGUUGCAGCAGGAGUUGGAGGGAUUUGAUUUGACCUUGGCGAGCGUGGAUGAGUUUCUUCCCAGAAAUCAUCCUGGAUUACAGGUGUGCUGCAUCCAAUGUCAUCAUCAUCAAGUUGUUCCUCAGUGGUCUUUGGAGGAGUGGUGGACUGAGGAAUAUCAUCUAUUUGUAUUUCCUCAUCCAUUACUUCAUCCUCUUCAGCAUCAUUCAUUUCUUCACCUUCUUAAGGAAUGACAUAGUCAACUCUGAAGGGAACGAUCAUGCAUGAUGGAGCUACAUUCAGAGGAGUAGCAUCCACCGGGGCUGAUGAAGAUUCUGACUAAGUGAUCUUCAGACGUUUGGCCUUUCAGGAUUCUGAGGCCAUUGAAGCUUUUCUCUUUUUGGCUUCUUUCUCAACCGCUUUCGUUUUCUUCACGUCUGAUGAACACGAAGUCACUUUCUUCACCUUUGAGGGUUGCGGUGAAGGGACAAUUUCAUCAGGCACUGGUUUAGUGUGAGGCCUGCCAGUUUCUUCAGCUGGAGCAGUUUCUUCAGCUCGAAUAUUUUGAGGAAUUUCCUCAACAGCAGGUUCAUCAAUUUUAUCUUCCUCACGUAGCUGAACAAUAUAGCUUCGCUAAGGUGGUGUUUGCUGCUUUGGAGGGGCAGUUCUCUUGUUGUAUUCAUCAACAACAGCUGUUGCAACCUUGAUGAAUUUCACUUUUACGCCUUGACGAUCAGAGUGAAGACUUGUAUACUUGUCUGUGAGGGUUUUGAGUUCAGCCUGAGUUGAUACAAGUGCUUUAGGCAUCAGGUUGAGGAGAUUCUUUUUGAGGAAUUUCUCCUUUUUGAUUUUGGCAGCCCUUGCUUGCUUGGCUUACUGCUCUUUCCACUUUUCUUCACUGAUAAAAGUAGCAACCAUAUGGCCGACACGAGGGGAAGCUUUAAGUCAUCAACUGGUGUGUUUGGAUCUUCAUACCAGAGGUCGAUGAAAUCCAGCAAUACCUUCAGAUCCAUAGCUAGAGGAAUGGAACUGCUGGAGGCUUGUGCAACAUGUUCCUGUUUGUUUCUGAUGAUUGCUUGGAGUGUUUCAUCAUCAAAUUCUUCACUUGCUUCUGAUGAAGAAGGAACGUUGAUGACUUUACUAGGACUUGGCCUGAUGCCUCUGCCAGCAGUCAUUUUAGUCUUCAACAGAGUGGGUGAAGACUUUGUAGCACAGCCAGUGGCAGAUGGCACCGAGGAACUUGAUUGUGCAGGUUGAAACUUACUCAGUUGCUUCUGUUGUGGGGGUGAAGACUGUCGUGUUGUUGAAGAUUUUGUAGCCAUUGCAGCCUUCUGAGGCAAUUGCUCUUUUGGCGCUGUAGUAGAAGCUUUGGGUUUCUUCAGCAAAGUCUUCUUUUGAUGAAUUUCUGUAGUAGAGGCCUCAACAGCUGAAGAAGUGGCAGCAGUGGCUGCAGCAGUAGAAUCCUCAUUGAAUUUCUUCACAGCCGCUUCUGCCUUCUUCUGUAACUUAGACAAAUAUUUGUCUUUCUCAUCUGGAUAAUCCUCAAUAUUUCUACACUUGAGGGAUGAGCGACUUGUUGAUCACCCUAUGGAGGCCUUUUGCAAGGUGGCUUGAGGGUGAAUUUCUUCGCAUAUUUUGGAGUCACAUAUCUGUACUCCUUCCACUCCUUAGCCCACCCGCGCUCAAUCUUUUGAAGCCUUAUCUUGCGCUUCGCCAUGGUCUCUUUACCAUGUAUUUCCUCAUCAAGAGUACAAUAAUCAGCAUAUAUGUCUUCAGGUAUUUCAAAUGUUGUAUUUUGUACCAGCUUCUUUCCUCCUUUCUUCUUCUGAUCAUCCUCCAUUUUCUUUAACUGAGGCUUUUGCUGAGGAAUCUGAACUCUUCAUGAUUCUGAAGACACAGGUAAAUUUUCUUCGAGGAAUGCUGCAAAUGAGUUAAGUUGAUGAGAAAUUAGAGAUUCAUCACCUGACAUUUUUGGACCUGUGAAUACAGUAUAGGUGCGAAGAAUUUGGGAAGGUCAUAUGUGUUCUCAGAUUUGAAGAAAUUGAUUUUUUUAAAGUUGAGGAAUUGGACUAAGCAUUCUGAUCUUGUGUUCCAGAGUUGUGCAGAUUUGAGAAUUUACACAAUUGACGAAUCAACUGUUUGAGGAAUGAGUGUACAUGGCCGACAGACUUUCUCAGGAAAAACAGAUUUCGCGAGUCUAAAGUGAAUUAAAAGAUCAACAUAGGCAGUAAAAUAGGAUUUUAUUUACCCGGUGCAAAGAACACGAAGAACUGGAGCAGUAAAAGAGAGAAGUUCCUCCGUUCAGAUCUUCAGCGCCCUAACUUGGCAACUCAAAUCAGCUACGGUGGCGGCGGAAGACGAUUUUCCGUGGUCGGCGUGAGUCCGACAACGGCGAGGGCGAGGCAACAAAGCUUUUCCUCACCGGCGACGAGGAUGGUAGCGGUGGCGCUAGGAUUGAGCUAAAGCGGAGAAGACGAGAGGACGAAGAGCCUUGAGUGAGGGGGUUAAGGGCCUAUUUAUAGCUUAGGUAAAAAACUAUUCGGCCGAAACUUUCGGACUGAACUUCCUUUGCCCCUUAGUCUCCACAUGACAUGUGGUACCCACGACUUAAGCGGUGGAGUUCAUGGUUAUCCGAUCAUGAGAAGUAGGUCCGGUAACUGUGUAUCGAUAUAAAAACAAUUUUUGAAUUUUUGAGGAUUUUAUUGCAAAGUCCUCAGCUGACAAGGACUCCGUGAUGAUAUUCAACAUGUGUCAAAAAGAACGCAUAUGAACAAUUGAGAAUAGACUGGGUUGAGCUUAGCAUAGAGGGGAGUCGGGUCCGAUCACAUUCACUUAGAUGAAAUAUCAAAUUGAAGACUGGGCUAUAAGUGAAUGCUGUUGAGGACUUUGAACGCUCAUUAUAUAUAUAUAUAUAUAUNNNNNNNNNNNNNNNNNNNNNNNNNNNNNNNNNNNNNNNNNNNNNNNNNNNNNNNNNNNNNNNNNNNNNNNNNNNNNNNNNNNNNNNNNNNNNNNNNNNNNNNNNNNNNNNNNNNNNNNNNNNNNNNNNNNNNNNNNNNNNNNNNNNNNNNNNNNNNNNNNNNNNNNNNNNNNNNNNNNNNNNNNNNNNNNNNNNNNNNNNNNNNNNNNNNNNNNNNNNNNNNNNNNNNNNNNNNNNNNNNNNNNNNNNNNNNNNNNAUAUAUAUAUAUAUAUAAUUUGAAUAUUUUGAAGAAUGAAAAUCAUCAAACAUUUUGAAGAAUUUGAAGAUUUUGAAAAUUUGAGAAUUUUGUGACAAAGUGUCAGAUUGAUGAAUUUCAACUUUGAAGAAAAAGCAGCUUGAAGAAUUUCAAAGUUGGGUGGUGGCAUGACCCACCGUAUAAGACUGAUGAUUUCAGGAGCCGCGUACAAUUGUCGUAGGGCCCUGAGAACCAAAUUCUUCAUUAAUUUCUUCACACUAAGAGUGAUGUUCUUCAUUGAUUGAAGAAAGUCGAUUCUUCGUGUGGUGCACAUCUAAAUCAUCAAUUUUGCAUAAGUGUUAGGAUCACAAAACAUUUGAAGACUCUAGGAUAUUUAGCUCACACCGCAACUUGCGAAACCUUCUCUCAUCCAAGGGCUUAGUGAAAAUAUCUGCUAGUUGAUCGUCAGUCUUCACAUGGUCGAUGAUGAUAUUGCCCUUGACGACAUGGUUCCGAAGAAAAUGAUGACGACUCGGGAUGUGAUUAGUCUUCGAGUGUUGUACUGGGUUGUAGGCAAUCUUGAUUGCACUCUCAUUGUUGAAGUAGAGGGGCACAUUCUUCAUGUUGAUGUUGUAGUCUCUGAGGGUUUGCUUCAUCCACAACAAUUGAGCACAGCAGGAUCCAGCGACAAUGUACUCAGCUUCGGCGGUGGAGAGAGAAACACAAUUCUGCUUCUUUGAGGACCAGCCAACUAAUGAUCUUCCGAGGAAAUGGCAUGUGCGUGAUGUUGACUUGCGAUCCACAUGGUCACUAGCAUAGUCAGAAUCAGAAUAUCCAACGAGGUGAAGAUUUGAACCCUUGGGGUACCACAAUCCUAGUGUUGGUGUGUGAGCUAAGUAUCAAAGAAUAUGUUUCAUAACGUUAUGGUGUGAUUUCCUCGGUUUUGCUUGAAAACGAGCACACAUGCAAACACUAAGGAUUAUAUCUGGCCUAGAUGCACAUAGAUACAAUAAAGAGCUAAUCAUCGAGCAAUAUACCCGUUGAUCGAAAUCAUUACCAUUUCGUCAGUGCAGCGGUGGCUCUUGGUAGGCAUAGGAAUCUUGACGCCUUUGCAUUCAUGCAUGUUGAAUUUCCUCAGAACAUCCUUGAGGUAUUUCGCGUGUGAUAUGAAGAUGCCAUUGCGUUGUUAACGAAUUUGAAGGCCUAAGAAGAAUUUCAUCUAUCCCAUCAUAGACAUGUGAUAUUUUUCACUCAUCAUUUAAGCAAAUUCAUCACUGUAACGUUUGUUAGUACAACCAAAGAUAAUGUCAUCGACAUAUAUUUGGCACACAAAUAGUUCAUUGUCAUCAGAUUUUGUGAAAAGAGUUGGAUCGAGUGAACCAGGUUUGAAGCCUUUCUUCAUGAGAAAUUCCUUCAAAGUGUCAUACCACGCCCGAGGGGCUUGCUUGAGGACAUAGAGUGCCUUUUUGAAUCUGAAGACUUUGUUAGAAUGCUUUGGAUCUUCAAAACCUGGGGGCUGCGCAACAUAUACUUCUUCCUCAAGCUUAACAUUGAGGGAUGCACUUUUCACAUCCAUUUGAUAUAGAGUAAUAUUAUGAUGAUUAGCAUAAGAAAGUAUAGCUUCAAGUCUAGCAACAGGUGCAAAAGUUUCAGCGAAAUCAAUUCCUUCAACAUGUGUGUAACCUUGGGCUACAAGCCGUGCCUUAUUCCUCACCACUUUACCAUCUUCAUCUUGCUUGUUUCAGAAAAUCCACGUGGUGCCGAAGAUAUUGUGCUUGCAAGGAUCUGGUCGUUUGACGAGUUCCCACAUGUCAUUUAGCUUGAAUUGAAGAAGUUCAUCUUGCAUGGCCUGAAUCCACUCAGGUUCCAUGAAGGCUUCAACAACUUUUGAGGGUUCUAUGAUAGACACAAAAGAGGAAUGCCCACAAAAGUUAACUAAAUCUGAAGCUUUUGAGAGAGUGAGAGGAUGUGGCGCAUUGUGUUGGGGAACGUUGCAUGGGAAACAAAAAUUUUCCUACUCACACGAAGACCUAUCAUGGUGAUGACCAUCUACGAGAGGGAGAUCGGAUCUACAUACCCGUGUAUACUACUAAGCGGGAAUUGUUAAGAAACAAGGUUGAUGUAGUGGAACGUCUUCGCGAUCCAAAUCACCGUCGUCCCAUGAUCCGACGCGAUAUAGUACCUAACGAACGACACCUCCUCGUUGAGCACACGUACAGCUGGAUGACGAAAUCCGCCUUCUUGAUCCAGCAAAAGAGAUGGGGAAGUAGAUGAGUUCUCCAGCAGUGUGACUGCGUGCCAGUGGUGGUGGUGAUCUAUUCCUGCAGGGCUUCGCCUAAGCACCGCAGAAACCCAAUCUGGAGGAAGAACUACAAACUAGAGGAGAGGGUUGCAUGUGGCUGAAAUUGCGUCUCAAAAUCAUUCAAACCUCUUGUAUAUAUAGGAGGAGGCAAGAGGCAGCCUUGUCCGACCAAGGGAAACCCCUUGGGGUCGACCGAACCAAAGGAGGGAGGAGUCCUCCUCCAAUCCUACUUGGAUUAGGACUCCUUCGCAAAUUGUCCACCUCUUUUGGAUUUUCCACCUUUUUCCACAUGGGAUUUCUUUGGUUGACAAGACAGCCCACUAAGAGCUAUUGCGCCACCAUCAAGUCCAUGUGGAGCUCUUGGGGAGUGGUGGCCCACCUGGUGGGCCCCCGGUACCCAUUCGUCAGUCCCGGUAUACUGCCGUCAAUGCCUGAAAUUCUUCUGGAAUCCAAAUAUGAACUGCCUAUAUAUCAAUCUUCGUUUCUGGACCAUUCUGUAACUCCUUGUGACGUCCGGGAUCUCAUCAGGGACUCCGAACAAAACUUCGGUCACCAGCACCUAUAACUCAACUAUACCGAAACAUCACCGAACCUUAAGUGUGCAGACCCUACGGGUUCAAGAACUAUGUAGACAUGACCUGAGACACUCUCCGGUCAAUAUCCAAUAGCGGGACCUGGAUGUCCAUAUUGGAUCCUACAUAUCCUACGAAGAUCCUAUCGGUUGAACCUCCAUGCCGAGGAUUCAUAUAAUCCCGUAUACCAUUCCCUUUGUCCUUCGGUAUGUUACUUGCCCGAGAUUUGAUCGUCGACAUCUCUAUACCUAUUUUAAUCUCGUUACCGGCAACUAUCUUUACUCAUUCCGUGAUAAAAGAUCCCAUGACUAACUCUUUAGUUACAUUGCUUCCAACACUUAUAUUUGAUGUUUUAUUACCGCGUGGGCCACAAGAUACCUCUCCGUCACACGGAGUGUCAAAUCCCAGUCUUGAUACAUGCUAACUCAACGGACACCUUCGGAGAUGCUUGUAGAGUACCUUUAUAGUCACCCAGUAACAUUGCGACGUUUGAUACACGCAAGGCAUACCUACGGUGUCAGUGAGUUACAUGAUCUCAUGGUCAUAGGAAUGAAUACUUGACAUGCAGAAAACAAUAGAAACAAAAUAACACGAUCAUAUGCUACAUUCAUAGUUUGGGCCUUGUCCAUCACAUCAUUCUCCUAAUGAUGUGAUCCCGUCAUCAAGUGACAACACUUGUCUAUGGCUAGGAAACCUUAACCAUCCUUGAUCAACAGGCUAGUCAACUAGAGACUCACUAGGGACACAGUUUUGUCUAUAUAUCCACACAUUAUGCUUCCAUUCAAUACAGUUAUAGCAUGGAUAAUAAACGAUUUUCUUCAAACAUGAAAUAUAAUAAUAACUACUUUAUUAUUGCCUCUAGGGCAUAUUUCCAACACAUUGAUGUCAUCCAGGAUUUUGUCAAGUUCCACUUCAUUUGCAAUUCAUGGAUGGGCUGGUUGAAGAUUUUGUCUUGGCUGAGGAAUUUGAUCUGGAGCAAUUUCCUCAAGUGCACCUCCUUGAAUUUCAUCAGUGCCGGGGACGAUUUCUUCAGCAAUUUCCUCAGUAGGAAGAUAUCUUCAGUAUCUUUGAAGUUGAUAGCUUCCUCGGGAGAUAAUUUGUCUGGCAUAGGAGGCAAUUGCUCUCCUUGUGAGCCAUUAGUUUCAUCGAACCGCACAUCUACAGUUUCAACAACCUUGUUGUGAUAGGUGUUGAAGACUCUGUAGGUGUGCGAGUCCUUUCCAUAACCAGACAUAAAACCCUCAUGUGCUUUAGGUGCAAAUUUUGAGCUAUGGUGAGGAUCUUUAAUACAACAUUUUGCACUGAAGACUUUGAAAUAACUUACAUUGGGUUUCUUGUCAGUGAGGAAUUCAUAUGAUGUUUUCUUGAGGAAUUUGUGAAGAUAUGCCCUGUUGAUGAUGUGGCAAGCAGUGUUGAUUCCUUCAGGCCAGAAACGAUGAGGAGUCUAAUAUUCUUCAAGCAUGGUCCAUGCCAUUUCAACCAAAGUCAUGUUCUUGAGUUCAACGAUGCCAUUUUGUUGAGGAGUAUAAGGAGCAGAUAAUUCUUGAGUAAUACCAAGUUCAUCAACGUAAUUAUCAUGACCAGUGUUUUUGAAUUUUGUCCCAUUCUCACUUCUGAUGUGUUUGAUCUUGACGCCGAAGUUCGUUGAGGCCCUUGUGGAAAAUUGUUUGAAGACUUCCUGCACUUCAGUUUUAUACAGAAUGAUAUGUACCCAAGUAUAUCAAGAAUAGUCAUCAACGAUGACAAAGCCAUAUAAAUAUGUUGCAUUGGUUGGAGUGGCAUAAUGCGUAGGUCCAAAUAGAUCCAUGUGAAGCAAUUCAGACGAACGAGUAGUAGUCACGAUAGUCUUCGAGGGGUGUUUGGAUCUGGUCAUUUUUCCAGACUCACAAGCAUUGCAGAGGUGGUCCUUGAGGAAUUUGACUCACUUGAUGCCAAUGACAUGCUUCUACUUCGCCAGCGUGUGCAAAUUCCUCAUGCCUGCAUGACCAAGUCUUCGAUGCCAUAGCCAGCCUUUUGAGGUUUUUGCUAGUAAGCAUGUGGCUGGUUGAUGACCUGUGAAAAAAUCAAUAAUGUACAAAUCUCCUCUCCUAAAGCCGUCGAAGACAUUAGAUUUGUCAGAUUCCAUGAUGACUACGCAUACAUAUUUUCCAAAGAUGACAACCAUAUCAAGAUCACAAAGCAUUGAGACUGGCAUGAGGUUAAACCCAAGGGAUUCAACAAGCAUGACUUUGUCCAUGUGCCUGUCCUUGGAGAUAGCCACUUUGCCAAGUCCCAGUACCUUGAUUUUACCUUUAUCAGCAUAAGUGAUUUGCUUCAGUGGUGAUGGAGUCAGUGGCAUGUUCAUCAACAAGCUUUUAUCACGAUUCAUGUGGUUUGUUCAACCACUGUCAAGAACUCACUCUGUAUUCUUGGGUUAGUCAUCCUAGAGAUGAAUUAGUACAACUUACCAUCUCAUAUGCUUUAGACUUGAAGAAUAUGGUUUCAAUUUCAUCAUAUAGGAAUUUCAUCAUAAACAGUAAAUUUGAGGACAUGUGAGAUGUUAUCAUUUCAUCAAUUUUAGUUUGCGUCCAAUCAAGCAUUUUCCUGAGGUCUCCAGCAAAUUCUUGAAAUGAUGACUUUCAUCUCGAGACUUGACCUGCAGAAGUGAUUAGUUCAAUUUCUUCACCACCCACAUCUGAAGGGGUGGCUAAGAGUUCAUCAUCGUGCGAGAAUCAUAUGAGAAAGGGGGCAUUGAAGCUAAUGCACUUCGUUUCAUAGUAGGGGUGUUAGAGUACUCGAAUGAAUAGGCAAAGAAGUUCUUUGAGGACUUAUGAAUAUAAUGAUUUGAGGAAUAAUGCUCAUAUUCAUAUCCCUUGUAAUUUCCCUGCAUAUCAGAAGCAUUAGCACAAGUACGAGUAUUGUGUUGACCAUUUGAGGAUUUUGAUCCUCUUGAAGACUUUGGUCCACCAGAGGAAUUUGAUCUGGGGUUCAGGUUCUUCAUAGGUGGUGUCAUGAGGACAUUCACCAUAAGGUUUUCCAAGCAACUUUUCGGACCCAGAUUUUUCUCAGGGGUGGUCCAUUCGUGUAGUUAGUUCCAACAUAUCUAGCAAAUACUUCACCAGAUCGAUUUUUGAACAAUUUAUAGUUGGAGUCAAAUGACUCAUCUGAGGAAUAGGAUAAUUUACAUGCAAAGCCUGUUAGAGAGGAUGGAUCGAUGGGAGGGCCUUUAGCAGCAACCCAUGAGGUUUUGGGAUACUGCUUAGGUUUCCAGUAUGAUCCAUUAGCAUUCAAUUUCCUUUCAAAGGCAAUUCCUUCUUUCCUCGGGUUCCUGUUCAAAAUCUUCUUUUUUGCACAUUGCAAAGGGUUUGAUGCCCUUUGAGACUUUUGUAUAUGCCUGUCACAUACAAUUCCUUCAGCCCUGCAUUUUCGUCAGUAGCAUUUGUGGUUUACUCAAGUGAAGAAUUUGAUACCACAGGAGAAGUUGAAGAAUUUAUAGCGAUAGAAGCAUUUGAUGAUUCUGGUGAAGAAUUAGCAUUUUCAUGUUUAAUGCAUAUGAGACAUGGUGGAGUAAAUUCAACUGAGCGGCACUGAUCUGUUGAGCAAGCAAUGAAUCAUUUUCCAUUUGAAGAUCAUCAUGAGACAUCUUCAACUUCUCAAGAUCAAGUUUCCUUUGAAAAAUUAAAAGGAAACUUUCUCAUGAUCAGCCAAGAGUGUGCCAUAACGAUCUUGAAGAGUAUCAAAUCUAGACUGAAGACUUUUCACAUCUUCAGUGAGGACUUGAGUACGAGUCAUUUCAUCAUUCAACAGAUCAUUGCUUUUGUGUAGCAGCUUUUGAAGCUUUUCAAUGGCACUUUGUUGUUUAGUUGCAAUGUUGGCAAGUUUACUAUAAUUGGGUUUUUUAUAAUCAUCAGGUUCACAGUCACUUCAGUUAGAGGAGGAAGUAUCAUUCAAUACCUUUGAACCUUUUGCCAUGAAGCAAUAGGUUGGAGCGAAGUCAUCAGCAUAUCCAUCAGUGUAGAUAGUGUUGUCAUUUUCUUCAAGGUUGAAGUUUGACUUGUUGACGAAUUUGGUAGCCAGUGCAAGACUUGCCACACCAGACUCUGAAUCUUCUUCAGAACCUUCAUCUUCAUCAAAUUCCUCAGAUUCUUUCUGUCAAUCUAUUUCCGUGCCAAUGGGUGCCCGAGCCUUUCUGAAACUAGUCUUCUUGUGCGAUGAGGACUUUGAGGAUGAGGAUUUUCAAGAUUUCUUCUUUUUUUUCGAGCCAUGAGAACUUUCAUCCUUGUAUUUAUUCUUCUGUCAUUGUUUCACCCAGUGAAGAUAGUCAGCUAUGUAGUGACCAGAUUUCUUACAUUUGUGACAGGUUCUUUUCUUGUAGUCCUGAGAUGAAGAUUCUGAUUUCCUCAUAUCUCUUCUUGAAGAUUUACAAAACUGACCAUGCUUUGAAACUUCUGGUAUUUCCUCACGAGCAUUGCAAGCUCCUGUCCAAGUUCUUCAGGAUCACCAAUGUUGCAAUCUGAGUCUUCUUCUUUAGAUGAGGAAAUUGCUUUAGCAUUCAACGCACAAGGUCUUGAGUAGCUUGGUCUAUACAGAUCUCUCUUUUCUUCCUGUUGGAAUUCAUGAGUAUUGAGUCUUUCAAGUAUAUCAGCAGGAUCAAGCAUUUUAUAGGCUCCUCUUUCUUGAAUCAUCAGAACCAGUGUAUCAAAAGAUGGAUCAAGAGAUCUUAGUAGUUUCUUCACAACUUCAUGGUCGGUGAUGCCUCGAGCUCCCGCUGCUUGUAGUUCAUUUGAGAUGUCAGUGAGGCGAUCAAAGGUAUCUUGGCAGCUUCCAUUGUCAAGCAUCGUGAAGCAAUUGAAGAGAUUGGGAAGAACAUCAACUCGAGAGUCAUGCUGAGUUGAGAUUCCUUCAUUGAGUUUGGACAACUUAUUCCAGAUAAGCUUAGUUGUGCCCAAAGCACUCACUCCGCCAUAUUGACCUUUGCUCAGAUGGCCACAAAUGAUAUUCUUCGCUUGUGAGUCAAGUUGCUUGAAUUUCUUCACAUCAGCGGCAGAGAUAGUAGAAGUGAUGGACGGAAUACCAUGUUCCACGGUAUACCAGAGAUCUUUGUCAAUAGCCUGAAGAUCUGUACUUUCCUUUGAAGGUAGGACAUCGUGAAGUAACUUUGUUCAUACCUGUCGUCGACAUAACUAAAACACGAGGUGGUUAAACCAAAAUCACACGGAACAAGGGAGUACCUUGCUCUGAUACCAAUUCAAAGUGCGUUAUAUCGACUAGAGGGGGGGGGGUGAAUAGGCAAUUAUUAGAAUUUCAUUGCUGAGGAUAUUCCUUGUGAGGAAAGUCCUCAAUGAUGAAUUGUGGGGACCCUGACUUACGGGUCGAGAUCGCCGAGUGAACGUGCUCAGUGAUCCCAGAGAUCAGUGCUCACCGAACAGAUAGAAACUGAAUAACAAGAGUCUUACAUCCAUACGUACCGUUUCCUCAUAUAGUAAAUGAUGGUUGCAGUCAAGUCUUACAUAUAUAGGCCUUGAGGGCCAACACAACAAACUCGACCAAUAGCAGAAAUAUUGAACGAAAGCGUGCCCAUGCCACCAGCCUUAACCUACAUGCAUUCUGACUCGAAGCGUCCUAGCUCACAGGAACGUCACCAAGUUACUCUUCGCCAUAUCCUGUUCUCUCAUACCUGGUCAAUGAAAUAACCAAUGGCAAGCCAAUGAGUACUUUGAAUGUACUCGCAAACAUCCCAUGAUAUGGAUAAUGCAGUUGGUAUGGGAACAAGUAAUAUGCAGUAUUGGUGGAUAGCAGUUUAACUGUAAAUAAACAUGAUCGUGGAUGUGCAGCAUAAGCUAGAUGGUAUUUAGAAGAACAGGUUACGGAUAUCAAUAUAUCUAUCAAGGGCUGAACACUCCGGGUUCUCCCGAUAUGACAGGUCACCAAACUUGGUCAUAUCAACCCUUUCACAUAACUACUUGAACACACACACACACACACUAGGUUUAUGCGGAAACGACUGGACGUAGUUUAAGCAGCACCACCCAACUGUCCUUGACCGUGGACACGACUAUCCGAAUAGUUUUACACUCUUCAGAGGUUGUAUGCAGUACCCACGAGAUCCAGGAAACUUGCGUGUCAUCCACGACUCGCGGUAUAUAACAUACCCGAGGUAAGUACCCAAUCAAUGCCUUUCCCCUGACGAUACUAGACAACAAGGUCAAUUUGAUUGGUACCCAGCCCACAUGUUGUAUGUCUUACGAGCACCGACUUUGGACAGUAGCAACCAUGCGGGGACCAACGGUGUUCCUGGAACACGUAAAAACAACAUAGUUGCCCUACCUGGCACGACCACAUCACGAGAGUGACCACACAUCACUCCCGCCACUAGUAAUGUGGCUCUUUGCUAGCACCGACCAGAGUAAUCAACAAAGCCCCGUCCCAUAAAGGGUUAACGUGGUCAUACAUGUAAGGUUGGGACGGUCGACACAUCAUAAAUCUAAUCCCAUUUACGAAACCACUCACAUGAAAAUAUCCGGUGCACCACUUCACCAUAAGUGACCACCUAACUCACCAUCACCCUCGGGCAUUAGUGGCAGCCUACGGGGUUUUCAUAAACCUUUGAUUAUACCAUUAUCAUGCUCAUGCUACUACUAUCCUUAGUUCUACUUGUCAACAUGAUAAUAGCGUGACCCUCAUAGGUGGUAGGAUCAUGCUAAAAAUGCAAGUGCUACGGAGGAGCCAUCGGUAAUAUCACUUCAAUGGUUUACCGAUACUUAUGAUCACAUGCAAUAUUAAUAUUUUCUACCCUAGCAUGCAAUAUAACAUAUGCUCAAACAUGGUCAAAUGGCUGCUUGCCUUUGCUCACAUAAGUCCUCGGGGUCUUCGACGUCUUCCGGUCCAACUCCGAGUACUCCGUCUACCCGUCACUAUUAUAGGAAACAACCACGGUAAGCCACACAACAAUCAAAAACAAAAGUGCUAUAAAAAUGGAAGUUAUAUUUUUCUUGGACCUCUCCGGUCAUAAGAAAAAUACCUGAAGCUUGCCAUAGGAGAUUUGGAUCAUCAAGGAUUUUUAAUGAAUGAGAAGAGGAAUAGGUGAUCUCUAAAUAUGCCUACGGAAAAUAUCAUGAUAGAAAUGAGUGGAGGCACUCAUUUAAUACAGCAUAAUUUUAGAAAUAUUUAGGAAGUUGUUUCACUGGAUUUGGAGUUGAUAUGAAUAUACUAUGGAUUAUUCAAUACUGGAUAAAUAGCAAAAGCGAGCUAUUUAUUUAAUGCAACACACAUAAGUCAUAAACAAUGUUGACCAAGGUUUCAAAAAUAGGAUGUGAUAUAAGAAGGCUCUGGAAAUUGUAAUCACUCCAUUUGCAAGUGCUGCCUAAAAUAUUCAAAUGGGCAUUUGAAUAUUAACCUCACACAAAAGUAUUUUGCAAAAAUGUGCAAUGCACAGAUCUGGAUAGAACAUGAUUUUAGAAACCUGCAAAUUUUUGAAUUGUCAGAUUUGGAGCUUAGAUGGAUAUUUGAUGGAUUUAUGAAGAUUCUGAUAAUAGGAAACAAAUCAGAGUUAUACCAGAUGGGGGGGAACUAUAUUGCGCGCAGGCCCACCGCAGCUUUGGGUCGGCCCAGCUUGGCCUGGCCUGCGGUGGUGCAGGUGACACCGAAACCGCACCCAGGGAAUACGCCUCCCCUGGGAAAAGGCGGCUACAGCUCACCCCGUAUCCACUUAAUGGGGAGAGACCCACCCGCGAGCCUCACUGGCCGGCCGACAGGCGAGGCCUAGCGGCUCACGAGGCUUUAUUCUUCCUCUCGCCACGAGGGAGAGCAGGGGAAUCUGGCAGCGGCUGCCGACGCUACAGGGCACAGUUCCCAGCGUCCCCACCACCAAAGGGCUCAGGGAAGCGAGUCGCACCCGUUCCGAUGCAGAGCACGUGCUGAGAAGGGCUGAGGUAGCGACGCCUUGGACGACCGCGGAGGAGGCCAUCGGGACUCGCUGGCCUCGAGAUCUUGGCGCCCCAGGGUGGAACGAAGGUGACCGGGGGGUUUCAACAUGGAGGUGUGAUGGCGCUGCAGGGGGUCAGGGGAGAGGGGGAGCUCGGAGGAGCUCAAAUUUAAGAGGAGGCCUAGGAUGCAAUGUGAGCGGCACGAGGAGGAGGAUGGGCACAGGGCAAGCCGUGGCUAGCCCAGGAGGCCACUAGGGGAAGAGGGGGCGAGAGAAUGCACAAGGGGGGCUAAGGGCUUGCUUCAAAUGGAGGGGGUAUGGCAGGGAGAGCUCGAGGGAGCUUCGGAUGCUCCCUUUGCACUCUAAGCAAAGUGGCCACGCGCGCCUGAGUCACCUUGGCUGCUUCCUGGCUUCGGGGAGGGCUCGAACGGUCAAAGGGGAGCACCCUGGCGCGUUGGGACACGCGACCGUUGAUGGAGUCGAGCUGCAAAAAGAUAAAAGGAUGCAUAGCAGCGUUUUUGCAUGCUUCCGGCGUGGUCAUCAUAGCCACUCAUGUCCACAAUGUUCCAAUGACCAGUCAAACAUGUCCAACACGUAGGGCACACAUGCAGGAAAGUAAACUUGAGGGGAAACCAUGUCUAGCAACAUCUGACACGGAAGGACUACACCCCUAUAAAGUUUUAGCUCAAGCAAAGGAGGGUAGCUAGUACUUGCUGUACAAAUCUACAUUUCAGCCACAAUUCAACUUGUAGAUGUGCUGCUCAUUUUCCCCACAUGAGCAUGCCAUCUCUUGGUAUGAAACAAUGCUUUGGGAUGCCAGGGACCCUCUGGAGAGAGGUGGGGCUUUGGCUUAAGCAGAAGUGGGAGAAGAGAGGUACAAAUGGUGAUCCAAGCGUAAAAAAGAGAAGUAGUUACAUGGAGGUAAAAUGUAACUAUAUGGAGCUGUGGUAGAAAGUUGACAUCAAGGGUAAAACUGGAAGGGGCCAAAGUAGCCACUUUAGUGAGUGCACACAAGGUGUUUGAUGAGUGUCAGGGCAACCAUAUGAACUUCAAUGGAUAUGAAACUUAACAGGAUCAAAUAAUAGAUGAAAAUAAGCUUGGACAACAAAUUUGGGAUUUUGUGGACAAGGUUUCCAAUGUAGACUUGGAAAACCCAUGAAAUUGGCAGAAAUGGCUUUCUGCUUACAACUCUAUUCAAAUCAAUUCCCACUAAUAGAAUAUUUGGUGUGGGGGCAUUAUUUGUGCAUUAAAGCAUGCCCAAAAAGUUUGGGGUCAAUUGGAGAAGCUUUAUAAUGUAAAGUUUCCCAAAGUCAGAAUUCAACAAAGAGGGGUUUGAGGGGCUUGGGACCAGUUCAUAUAUUCUCCUUGAUUCCCCACUUGGUGUGGAUGCAUUAUUGGAGUAUCAUAACAUGUAUACCAAAUUUGAGCACAGUUUGAGAUACUGGACAAUGUAGAGUUGCUCAAAUUUGGUUCUGGACAGAUAGGGUUUUAGGAUAAUUAAGGGAGCCAAAUCACCUUGGAUUGAUAUGAAACUUGGCAAGAUCAUCACAAAGGUCAUAUGUGACAUGCUAGAAUUUUACAUGAAUUUAUUGAUAAUAUUUCUUAUAGAAAUAUUUCAAAACCUUGAAAUAGGCAGGAAGGGUUUGCCCUAUAUUUGAACAUGACCAUGUGUUGAAACUUAUAUAUAUGGAAUAUAUAUGUCCAUUGAGUUUCCCUAAAUUUUAUUAAAUAUUUUGAAAGCAAUAGAAAUAACUUUCCUUCACAAGAGAGCAUUUCUGGCCUCACAGGAAGGCAUUUAAAUAAAAUAGUAAAAUAACUAUUAUUAAUUUUGUGGUUUUGUGAAGCCAUUUUGAUAAUGGGUUUUAAAUAAAAUAAUUGGUGCAAAAUAAAUUCCCUAAUUUGAGGACUUGUAGUACAAAUCCCAUCUAACGGGUUUUGAAAGCUUAAUUCAAAGAAAUGUUUUUUGGCGAAAAUAAUAUUUGGUAAAAAUAGUUUCUGGUCCUAAACACAUGGCAUGAUCAUUAGGGAGGAGAUUUGGGGUAAGGAGGUGAGUCUGGAGAGUAAUAAGAAUUAUUGAGAAUCAAACACAAG
rnacentral:lncRNA from 1 species